UUAGACAGAUAAAGACGGAAAUUUUACAAUUUUGCAUAUAUUGUAUGAAGUUUGUACAUGCAAAACCCAAUGUUAUUGUUAUACACAAAUCAAGCAAAGGGUGAAAAUACCAUAUCGAGAAAUGUUGGCAUUUCUUUUUGUCCACUUAGAGCAAGGUUUGGUAGAAUCACUUUUAUCCCUUGCCGGCCUGACAUAAUGAAUUUCAAUAUCUCACGAAUUUCAUAUUAUACACAUUAAUUAAAAAGUUAACAGUUAUGAGAGUAUUUAAAUAUUAAUUUAUGUCUUUUCAGAAACCUAUAAACGUAAAUGCACAGCCUAUACACAUAAUUUAUCACAAAUUGUAAGAUAGCGCCGCUUGGAUGGAUCCCCUCUCAGUGUUUUGACUUAAAUAAAUGUGAUUCAACAAAACAUAACACAAUAGUAUCAACAAUAUCUGGAUUCUUAAUGCCCAUCUAUUGUUAAAUUUCGAGAUUGUUGUUUCCCUUUAUCAUCUCUAUCCAACAAGCAAUGAUCUCUUAUAAGUAGUAUUUCCAUAGACAUACAGAAAUCAAAAGGUAGUUUACUUUCUAACUAACUUCUACAUUAUACUACAAGAAAAAGGGUGCUCAAAACUAACACAAAAUAUUCCGAUACAGCUAACCAACACAAUCACGAUAAACAGACCACAAUUACCACAGGUCAUUCAAAACUAACCACAAAUCACCCUUAUCCAGUGACAAAAUAUUCCGAUACAGCCAAUCAACACAAUCAAGGGCACAAUCAAUCAUAAAAUAUUCCGAUACAGCUAACCAACACAAUAAAGCUGAUCACUAUCAGUUAUCACAUAUAUGUUCAAAACAGACCACAACUAAAUGAGAUCUAUCUAGUCAAUUAAACAUUUUCGUAACAGAAAUCAAAAUUUUACCCACUGAGGUGGCAAUAGAACAUAGUUUUGUUUUGCUGGAGCAUCUUCUUCAUUGUUUACUGCAAGAACAAAUGCGAUAAUUAGUGAGUUUCGUAUCAGAUAAAUUAGCUAUAAAACAAUCGGAAUUGAAAAUCUAGGGCUUAAGAAAACGAUAUAUAUACCUGGUUUUCGGCUUCGAAACGGACAACAUAAAGAAUUUGAACAUCGAUCUAGCAACACUGAAUUAUGAAUACACUCGAAUAGAUACAUACACACACGAUUAUUAUCCAUCGAUGCGGCGUGCCCUAAUCUAAUUGGGAUGUCGCCGCCUUAACCUGCACGAGGAGUUUAGAAGAGAUUUUAUACCUAAAAUAUAAGUGGGGUAAGUGAUGGGCUAGGGUUUCUUCUGGAUAAUCGGAAUGGGCUUUUUUAUAAAUUAUAAGAUGGGGUAAGUGAUGGGCUUUUUAUGAGUUACUUUAAACAACUAUGAUAGUAGAAUUUUAUGGGCCUCGUUUGAUUUGAUAAGUGAAUGACACGAGACGGUUAGUGUGAUUGUUCAGAAUUUUAUAUGUUAAACAUGUAUUUUAUAUGUUUGAUUGUUUUUUUAUUUUGAAUUAGAUGACGGUGAAAAGCUCUGUGACUACAUGCUAAUUUUCUUCGCUAAAUUUUAUAUGCUAAUGUUCUCUAUAGUUUAAAAAGUUUGAAAUGUUGAAAAUUUUGAUAUUCAAGCAAACUUAAUUUUAAAUAUAUGUUAAUAAGUCUAAUUAUAAAAAAAUAAUAAAUUAUAAUUGAAAAAUAUGUAUUAUAUUAUUAAAAAUAUUAAAUUAAAUUAAUUGAAAUCCAUCAAAUAUAGGUAUAGGGUUUUAAAAAAUUAUAAUUUAAUUUUAAAUAUUUGUUGCUAGAUUUAUCUUAUUUAGCAUGUAAUUUAUAUUAAAAUGUAAUAAUCGAAUAUAUGGAUAUUUCGUGGUUUGAAUCACUUUCAAUUACCGUCAUUAAAUUUCAUAUCAAAUUGAUGAGAAAUAUUUAAUAUAAUAUUUAGAAGAGUUUCUUUAUAUGAUUAGGGUUUAUUUCUCAUCAAUAAUAUAAUCGAAUUUAAUUUAUAAUAUAAAUUUAUAAUUAUUUAAAAUUCCAAACAGCCAUAUUAAAUAUUAUAUUAAAAUUAUAUAAAGAAUAUAAAACAUACAAUAGUAUCAAUUAUUUAUUAAAAUAAUAUAUAUUUAAGACUAUUUACUUAGAUUAAUAUUUCUGUUGAUUAAUUCAAAAACACCCAAAUCAUAAUAGAUUUAAGAUAAUUUUUGAUAAUUUAAAAAACCUUUCAUUUUCUUAAUAUCUGUUAAAAUCACCAUUGUCAUGAAGAAAAAAAAAACUGCAUUAUAAAUAUUUGAUAUGAUUGAUACAUUAAUAUACAUACGUGCAUGGUGCAUAAAUGAAUGUAUAUACGAACUUCUCUGGAAGAUAAUAUCCACAGUGGCAUCAUUUGUCAGCCUGAUAGAUUUCAAUACCGGAGAAAACAACUUGUAUCUAUGUUGUAUGACAAGUUAAUUGACUGUUAUGUACUAGAAAAGUCUAAACCGAUCGCAGGUAUAAAUUAAUCCGAAACUGAUAUAGUCCGAUCAUAAAUAAAUCUUGGGAAUAAUAAAAGAAUCCAAAAUGAGUAAUAUUAAUAUUAUUUAUUAUUCUCUAGACUCUAUUUAAUUUGUUUUUUUAGAGAUAGUUCUGUAUGUAUUUUAAAGUUUUAUAAAAUAUAUUUCUUAAAUAAUUUGAUGAAAAAAUUUCUAGAUAAAAUUAAAAUUUUAAUUUUAACAAAAAUAGGAAAAUUACAAAAUGAGUCAUGAAAAUCUAUUUCAUAAAAAUUUAAAAUAUAAAUAAGGAAAUUCUUAUGAAAUUAUAAAACGAUUUAUAUAUAGUUAUUGACAUUGAUUUUAGACGAGAAAGGAAAUUGUGUUUGUUUAAACUCUAAUCUAAAUUCUAAUCAUUUUGUUUGUGUUUGUUUAAACUGUAAUAAAUUUGUUUCGCUUGUACAUUCAUCAACAAUAAAUUGUUUUAUGUUCUUCCAUCAAUAAGAUCACAAAAACAUCUAGCUUCGGCACCUAAACAAAUGCUACAUAACCCAGAAGAAAAUUGGUAAAUUAUGAAUAACUGUUCCAAAAUGCAGAAUCCUGUUUUAACACACAAACAAGCGUAUUAUAUACAUUAUACAGGUCAAUAAAUAAAAAGAUAAAUACUAGAAAUACUUCAAGUAACUUAAUGGUUACUUGAACAUCAUCUAUUUUAAGUCUUUUGAGCCCUGAUCUUACAUACGGAUAAGAAAAGACAAUAUGGUUACUACCAAUUCGCGGUCCUUAGAUAAUUGAUUUUCAUCAUUUUGGAGCAUCAUCUUCAUUGUUUACUGCAAAUCAUCUUCCUUGUUUACUGCAAAGAAGAAUGUGAAAAUCAGUGACUUUCAUACUAGAAAAUUUAAUAAAUUUCAAGUACAUUAUAACUUAACUAUAAGCAUACCUUCACCAUUUAUGAGUCAUACAUCUCCCAAUUAUUAUUAAAGAAAAAACAAUCUUUACGUGAAUAAGAUUGUAUUGAGUUUGUUUUAUGGCAGGGUCGGCUAGGAGCUCAGCACAAAACUCUAGCCACCUACAUAGAGCUCGCUGAGGGAAGAUGGAACUCAUCCUUGUGCUUUGGAACAAGGUCGGAAAUUCCUAGAGGUGGUGCCAGCCUCUAGGUUCUUUUACCUCAUCAGCUGCAUAAACACAAACACUGGACACAGGCACAGUGGACAUAUAAUAUAUCUUAGAAAAAUAACGAUGGAAGUUUCAUAAUUUUGCAUAUAUUGUAGGGAGUGUACAUAUAAAAACCAAUUUUUUCGUUAUACAAAAAUCAAGCGAAGGGUGAGGACUACCAUCUCGAGAAAUGUUGGCAUUUCUCUUUGUCCACUUGGUGCCAAUUUUGGUAAAAUUAAUUUUAUUCCUUGCCAACCUGACAUAAUAAAUUACAUAUUCUACGCAUUAAUUAAAAAAUUAACAAUUAUGAGAGUACUUCAAUACUAAUUUAUGUCCUUUCAGUCAUCACAAUAAAUAAAGUUCAUACAGAAACCUAUAAACACUACUAGAAAAACGUCAAUAAACAUCAGUUAAAAACCCAUGUUUAUGAAAAAGAGAAACCGAUGUCUUCGUGGGUGAUGUUAAAGAUCCCCUCAUUUAACAUCGGUUUCAAACUGAUGUGAAAGAUGUCGUAUGACAUCGUUUCUUAAUUUGAAACCGAUAUCUAUAUCUUGAUGUUAAAUUUUUAAUGCACAUCUAUAAUUUAUAUAUAAUUAUAAUAUGAUAUUUUUAUCAAUUUAAAGAUAUGUAAUAAAGGUCAAAGAAAAGAAAAGGUGCACUCAUAUACUCAACACCACACCUUUUUUUAGCGAGCUCUACAGUGUUUUUCCCCCCUUCCCGACCAGUACUAGUACAAGACUUUGGCCUGCAAAGAGAAAGGAGAACAAUUGCAGGAAGUAAUAACUGUUAAUGUGGCAAACAGGUUUAUUUUUCAGAAUAACAACUCAAAUAAAAAGUCUCAUACUAACACUUAUAAUGCAAACAUUUGCACUCAGUAAAUGCAGGAGCUAGUCCCCAAAAUAAGAUGCAAGUAAAAGAAAGGAACACAAUUACUCAGCAAUAAAUAAUUUAUAGAGUUUAAACUUCAAAACAAGACUAAAAAUUGGAAACGCAUCUGUAGUUCCUUUUUCGAACCACAUCUGUCAAUGAACCACACCAUUAAAUUCAGUAACAAAGAUUAAUUACAACAGAAAUUUAUAAGUCUACAACAGAAAGAGGACCCAAAUAAAAAACUACUAGAGAGUCACAAAAAUAAAACUAAAAGAAAUGGAGAAAGCAUCUGCAGUUCCUUUUCCUGACAACAUCUGCUUAUGUCUGAAUUAUAUUUAUGAACCACAACAUCAAAUUCAGUAACAGAGCUUGAAUGAAAGAUUAAUAUAACAAACUAGCAAGCAAAAACUAUACAACAAACACUGGAAAACAAACAUAAAAAGAAUAUAAGGUUACCCUGUGUUGGAGUUAUUCAUGCCCAAAAACUUUCUGUUACAAUCUUCAUAUGAUUUAGCCAAUUUUUUGUUCUGGUGGAGCGAUGCUGCACAGAUCAAAAAAAUUUGUCAAAAGGCUAAACAAGACUAUUAACAAACAGUUAUUAGAUUAUACUCAUCUCUCUCAAAACUCACCUUCAUAAUUUAACUACCUCUGGGUCCCUGAGUUAAUUAGUAAUUAGUAAUUUAGGAUAAGAACAAUCACUCAACUAAUUACAAAUUAAAAAUUAGGGUUUCAAAUUGAAACCCCCAAUUCUAAAAUUAGGGUUUAAAACUUACCCAAUUCAAACUUUAACCUCCGAAUUAGCUCUAAACUCUGACUUGAACUCCGACUUGAGCUCCGACGACCCUCUAACUUUUAACCUUUAACUCCCGACUGGAACUUCGACAGAGAGAGAGUAGACAGCCCAAAGAGAGAGAGUAGACAGCCAAGAGAGAGCAGACAGUAGUGGGAAGUGAGUUUAGCAGUGAGGUGAGAGUGAGUUCUUCGGUCGACAAGAUCGAGUGAGAGAGGAGAUCGAGUGAGAGACAGCAGUGGUUUACGAUUUUUGAUUUUAUGUUUUAUGUUUUAUGUUUAUGUUUUAUGUUUUUGAUUUUGAUUUUGAUUUUAUUUUUAAUUUUUGAUCCACAUCAAAAAUAAAGGGGGGGGGGAUUUUGCUAAGGCAAAAAACGAGGGGAAUUUUUAGGAGGGAAUGAAUUAUUUGGCUAAGGGGGGAAAACGGGAAACGCGCGCUUCUUAAAUUUUUAAAACAGACUUAUAACAUCAGUUCUUCUAAAACACCGAUGUGUAUAUUAACCAAAGACAACAGUCGUUCAAAACCGAUGUGAGAAAACCCUUUUACAUCGGCUCCAGGAGCAACUGAUGUCUAAUAGGCGAUGUCUAUUCUACUUUUUCUAGUAGUGAAACGUAAAUGCACAGGCUACAUACAUAAUUAAUCACAAAUUGCAAGAUAGUGCCGCUUGGAUGCAUCCUCUCACAGUGUUUUGAAUUAAAUAAAUGUGAUUCAACAAGAUAUAACACAAUAGUAUCAACAAUAUCUGGAUUCCUAAUGCCCAUUCAUUGUUAAUUUUCGAGACUGUUUGGUUUCCCUUUAUUAUCUCUAUCCAACAAGCAAUGGUAUCUAAUGACAAUCGAAAGCUUUCCAUAGACAUACAGAAAUCAAAAAGCAGUUUACUUUUCUAAUUAACUUCUACAUUAUACUACGAGAAAUAGGGUGCUCAAAACUAACACAAAAUAGUAUCACAAUAUCUGGAUUCUUAAUGCCCAUCCAUUGUUAAUUUUCAAGACUGUUUGGUUUCUCUUUAUCAUCUCUAUCCAACAAGCAAUGAUCUCUUACAACAAUAGAAAGCUAAAGUAUUUCCAUAGACAUACAGAAUCAAAAAAUAGUUUCCUUUUCUAAUUAACUUCUACAUUAUACUACAAGAAAAAGGGUGCUCAAAACUAACACAAAAUAUUCCAAUACAGCUAACCAACACAAUCACGAUAUGUUCAAAACAGACCACAAUUACCAAAGGUCGUUCAAAACUAAUCACAAAUUACCCCUAUCCAGUGACAAAAUAUUCCAAUACAGCAAACCAACACAAUCAAGGGCACGAUCUCCCAGUUAUCGCAUAUAUGUUAAAAACAGACUACAAUUAAAUGAGAUUUAGCUAGUCAAUUAAACAAGCCUUUCAUUACAGAUCAGAAUUUUACCCACUGAGGCAGUAAUAGAACAUAGUUUUGUUUUUCUGGAGCAUUUUCUUCAUUAUUUACUGAAACAAAAAAUUCGAUAAUUAGCGAGUUUCAUAUCAGAUAAAUUAGCUAUAAAACAGUCGGAAUUGAGAAAUCUAGGGCUUAAAAACACGAAAUAUAUACCUGUUUUUGGGCUUCGAAAUGGAUAACAUAACGAUUUUGAAACAUCGAUCCAGCGAUUCAGCACUGAAUUAUGAAAACACUCAAACACGCACGAUUAUUAUCGAUCGACGCGGUGUGCCCUAGUCUAAUUGGGCAGACGACGCCUUAACGUGCACGAGGAGUUUACAGGUGAUUUUAUACCUAAAACAUAUGGGCUAGGGUUUCUUAUGAAUAAUCUGAAUGGGCUUUUUUUAAGUGAUGGGCUAGGGUUUAAUCUGAAUAAUGGGAAUGGGCUUUUUUUAAGUGAUGGACUGUUAUUGUGAUUGUUCAUAAACACGUUUGACUGUUUUUAUUUUGAAUUGAUUUUCUUCACUAAAUCAUGGAUCAAGUUCUCCGUAGUUUAAAAAUUUAAAAAAUGUUGAAAGUUUUGAUAUUUAAGCAAAUUUAUUUUAAAAUAUAUGAUAAUAAGUCCAUUUAUAAAAAAAAUAAUAAAUUUAAAUUUAAAUAUUAAAAUAUGUAUUAUAGUCUCGGAUAUAAAUAUGAUCAUAGUCUCGGAAAAAAAAGUAAGUCUUUUUGUAUAUCAAAAUAUUUGAAAUGAAUUUUUAAAUUCUAAUUUGAUAUUUAUUAAUGUAGGCAGUUUUUAUUUUUGAUAUAUUGGAAAAAGUAGUUUUGAAACUUUCCUCCAAUAUCUCCGAAACUGAAAAAAGGUAAUUUUUAUUUUUGAUAUUUUCAAAAUUAAAAAUAUAAUUCUAUACUUUAUUUCAAUAAUUUUGAUACAGAAAAAGGUAGGUAGAUUUUAUUUUUGAUAUACUGAAAAUGAUAGUUCUAAAACUUGCUUCUAAUAUACCCGAAACUAAAAAAGGUAGUUUUUAUUUUUGAUAUUUUUCAUCCAAAAAUUUCAGAAAAUUGGAGGAAAAAAAGUAAGUUUUAUUCGAUAUCAAAAUAAUUGAAAAGAAAUUUCAAAUUCUGAUUUGAUAUUUAUUAAGUUAGUUAGUUUUUAUUUUUGAUAUAUAGAAAAAUGAGGUUUUGAAACUUUCCUUCAAUAUCCGAAAUUGAAAAUGGUGAUUUUUAUAUAAAAAAAAAGUAAUGUAGAUAGGUAGAUUUUAUUUUUGAUAUUUUGAAAAAGAGUUCUAAAAUUUACUUCCUCGCGUAAUAUAUUAUUUAUGGUCCAAGAGGCAUAAUCUGCUCCCUCGGAGUUGAGUCCAACCUGUGACCAAGGAUACAAGCCUCCGCUUUUAACCUAGUUGAACCAACUUUUCUGGCAAAAGAUGUAUUUGAUAUGGGGCUAAAAAUGCAAAAACCAAAACGAAAAUGAAAUAUAUUUGAGGCAUAUGGUCGAAAAGCUUGAACAUGUUGUGAGACUCUUUUAUAUAUUUCUAAAUUAUAAAAAAAUCGUGUUUUUCAGGCUGCUUCUAAUAUACCCGAAACUAAAAAAGGUAGUUUUUAUUUUUGAUAUUUUUCAUCCAAAAAUUUCAGAAAAUUGGAGGAAAAAAAGUAAGUUUUAUUCGAUAUCAAAAUAAUUGAAAAGAAAUUUCAAAUUCUGAUUUGAUAUUUAUUAAGUUAGUUAGUUUUUAUUUUUGAUAUAUAGAAAAAUGAGGUUUUGAAACUUUCCUUCAAUAUCCGAAAUUGAAAAUGGUGAUUUUUAUACAAAAAAAGUAAUGUAGAUAGGUAGAUUUUAUUUUUGAUAUUUUGUAUCACCAUCAAAAUGAGAUCAUUCAUCUUUUUAUCACCGUCAUAAUUAAAUUUGGAAGAUAUAAAGUUCUCAUAUUGACUUGCAUGGGAAACUGGGAGCUCAUACUAAGACUCCUAUAUUCUUUUAUAUUUGUAAAAUUAGGUGUGAAGACCGCGUGAAGUAAAAACAUUUUUCGAGAGCAUGCACAUUAUCAAAACAAAUAAGCUGUUUGUUUAUAAUCUUAAAUAACAAUAUUAGUUGUUAUAUUAUCAUUUUUAUCACAAGUUCCCAAACUGCUUGCAAGUUGGGAAAGUUUCCUGAAAAGGAAUCUGUUCUGCUUUUCUUCCAAGUAUUAUAUCACACUCUCAUUCUUUCAUUUUCAUGUCAGCAAUAACAAUGGAAAAUAUGCUUUGGCAAUACUGAUACCAUUCAAGCUGAGGUGUACCAGAGUAGAUAAAUUCAAUAACCAACCAAAUAUGCCACCUUGUAGAAUACCAGUGUGGCCGAGAUUAAGCUGCUGUAAUUUGAAAAGAUUACCAAGCUGAUGUUGAAUGGCUCCAGAAAAAAGGUUAUCAAAGAUCGAGGUAUGUGAAGCUGGUGAAAGAAGGAAUGAAAACAAAAUAAAAAACUUUAAAAUUGCAAAUUUAAACUUUUACAUUAAAGAUAACACAUUUGUCUAAAAGUUGAGAACCAAAUAAAUAGCAGCUUAUACAAUAUCUUAAUCAAGACAAGACAAUUUUUGUCCACCAUUAUCCUACAAUUUGCAAAGCCUCAAAGGCUGCUCACACUAAAAGAAGUCCCAAAACAUUUCAUAAAUUUUUAAGUUAAAGUAGUUGAAGUACAUCCUCUGUUUUCUCUGAGCAAACAUCAUCUUUUGUAUUUGGAUUUUAAAGGUGUGCUCUAUCUCUCGCUUUCACAGAGCAUUUCUCUCAGUAAUACAACGGCCUCCAUAACAGAAAAUUCUUUCAUCCAUUUGGCCACCCCUUCGCCAAAUUUGUCUGCCCAAUAUAUUUCGGAUCAAUGGCCAUAAAAAUCUUUACGCAACUCCUAAAACCAUCUUCGAAGGCCUCUUUUAUUUUUUUGUUUCUCAACAGCUCAAUUGUUGGCCCUGUCGAGUGACGCCAAUGCAAGAACAUCCUUGAAAGCUCACAGGCCUAGAACUGAAAACAAUCUUAUAAAUAAAAAGAUAUUCUUUAAAACAUUAAACUUUAUCUCUACAAGAAUAGUCUAUUUCUAUGUGUAAUCACAAUUUAUUACGAUUACGAACUAACAAUAUAUAAGCAGACAAACUUAGGCACAUCGUCAUAGAAUGAACAACAAAGUUAUACAACUUAUUUAAAAACAUCAGUUGGGAAAAGCAGUAUAAAGAGGUAGAGACUUGGUGGCCUCAGAUAAAGGACGUUGUGCGAAUAUAACCUGGCUUUCUACUUGCUGGCACCAUAGUGGUGAAUUGAGCCAUUUCUCACCAAAAUCUUACUUGCAAAUUUGCUAGCUAUUAAUACAUUUAAUGGUUGAAUAUUCUUUAUUAGAUUGUAUUCUAAUAAUUAACUUGUGUUUUAUCCUUUAUUAUACAUAAAGAUAAUAUUUAGAAGUAAUUUGUGAAAAUUCCAUUGACUCCUGUUUCACACUGUGCCCACUUACAGGACUUGUUCUAGGGAAAGUGACUUGUGCCUCCAAGCAUUUCAAGCUCAAACUAUGAAGCCCAAAUAAUAUAGCAGGCAAGUAGCUUACUAUAUGUCGCAGUAAAGACAAAUAGACAAUGCUACUAUGCCGGAAAAAAUUGCAAGGGCACUCGCAAAGGAUCAGAUAUACCUAAUGCAGAAUAACCCGAAGGAGGAAGUUCAUUAUUCACCUCGAUACUCAGUUAACAGUUUUUAACUUAUAGAAAACCAACAACUUCAAGCAGAAAAAGAUCAGGUAGAGCAAUAGUAGCUAGUUGAUGCAAAAAUUAAAUGCCUCAAAGAGUCUGAUACGAAGUUAGUUAAGUGUGUGGCUGUGUGCAUAUGUGGAGAGAGUUACCAUAGCAUAUAGCAAGGAUAAAGAAGCUUAUCAAUUCAUUCUAUCAAGCAAUAAUAAUUCAGCUUACCUGAAUUCAUAAGCGGAAGUACAAAGAAAAGUUCAGAGAGUCCCACGAGAGAAUGAAUCGUGUCUGAACUGAUUGCCCAUACAAGAUCUCCCUGAAAAGAAGAUUGAAGUCCGAGAAAUGACACAAUAAAUGAGAAGAUUUCUAUCAUAAAUCACAAGUGCUUGUAAAAUAAAAUUGCAUGUGGAAUGACUAAGCUGCAACUACGUAUUACCUUGAGCUGCAAAAACAUUUCAUAUGUGAAUACAAGAAACAAAUGACAACUAUUAUUAGCAAGGCAUGAACACACAAGUCCCCUUAAAGUAAGUUGAAAAAAAUAAUCACCGCCUGUGGAAUGUAACGAUGGCUCUUGCGCUUAGGUUGGUGAACUGCUGCUGAGGAGCAGUCACUUAGAACAGUCUCCACUUGCGCUGGAGGUUUGUUUUUGAGCAUACAGCUGGAUGCCUGGAUUUUCCUCACCUUUCCUUGCCUCUGUCAAAUCUAAGACUUUAUCCUAAUCAUCACCGAUUAAAAAAUCAAAAUCCACGAUAAAUUAAGCAUCAAAACCCUAAUGAAACACAGACACCAAUUCAAAUACACAUAGAAAUUGAUAAAGACAACGAACUGCGCAUACAUAAAAAUCUGCUGCUAUGCUCUCCGGAUAAAUCAGAAGGAGAUAACUGCCCACGACUAUGAUCAUAUAACAUAAAUCAACCCUGAAAAUCAGCAAGAAUAACAUACAUACCCGCUUUGACCCUCUAGCUGAAUCCGUCAUAUUCAUGCCGAUCGGCUUUCCCCGGUGUGAAAAGAUUGUCCAGAGAAGGCCAUUUAUAAGUAAAUCUCUGAGGAGGCACAGAGACCUCAGUUACGGAGCGGGUAACUGAAGUGCCUGUCCAAGUCCCAGGCUGAACAUAACCGCUAGGCAAGCUGAGAGAAAAUAUAAAAGAAAUAGCCAAAAGUGCAGAGAGUAGGGAUUUUGAUUCAAGAGCGUAAAGAGCGCCACGUAAGACGCCCGCGAUUUUGCUUUAUAUAGAUAUAAGAUUUGACAUUCUUUAGUAUAAAAUUUUAAAAAUAAUAUUAAUUACAUAUACGUCAAGUGAGUAGCAUGUAAACUAUGAAUUUUUUUACAAAGUGCUGAAUCGAUCCUCUGUCAUCACACAAACGUAUUAUAUACAUUAUAUAGGUAAAUAAAUAAACAGACAAAUAUAAAAACUACUUGAGUAACUUAGAUUUUAAGUCUUUUGAGCAUUGAUGUUACAUAGAAAUAAGAAUAAGACAAUAUGGUAAGGAAUACAUUGGUAGGUUCAACUACUUGGAAAAAAAUCAUCUACAUUGCCAGCUUUUAACUUAGUUCUUGCAAUUUCAAAAGUUCCCGAUAUGUCGCGUUGCUUUAUCUUCAACGAAAUAACCAAGUAGACAAGCAGCAGCUUCUUAAUAGCAGAUAAGUAGCAGAUUAGCCAGCCUUAGUUACUGUUUUCCAUCUUUUUGGAGCAUCAUCUUCAUUGUUUACUGCAAGAAGAAAUUUGAAAACCAGUGAAUUGAAUACUAGAAAACUUAAUAGAUUUUCAAGUACAUUAUAACUAUAUAACAAGCAUACCUUCACCAUCUCUGAGCCAUACGUAUCCCAGAUAUUAAACGAGAUAAUCUUCACGUGAAAAAGAUUGUACUGAGUUUGUUUUACAAUACCUCAAAGUGUGUACGAAAACAUACCUUUAAAAAGAAGUAAAGAUAUAUCACAAACUAAUAACUUUCAACCAAACUAUACAAUAUACUACGACAGAAAGUUUAAUACUCCCUCUGUCCCGGUUACAUUUUAACCGACUUUGACUUUUUAACACGUAUAUUGAGAUGCAAAAAAAUAAUAUCUACACUGAAUAAAAAAAUUCAAUUCUUAUACCAAAUAAUAGUUUAGAUUCUAAACGUUUAAUUGAUAUGAAUUUUAUAAAGAAUUAUUAUGUUUACAUGUGAUUUUCCUAACACCUUAAAAUACAUGUAAAAAAGUCAAAAGCAGUUAAAAUGAGACGGAGAGAGCAUAUAGAACAAGAUAUUUGUGUGCACAUAAAGUCUCUUACCUCAACAAUAUUUCCUCUAGGAAGGCCGACACCCAAUGCAAUGUCCAAUGUCAGACAACCACUUGGAAAAGAGUCACUGCAGUAGACCAAAUUGGAGAACAGGGCAAUUUGUAAGUAAUGAAAACUUAGAGUGUGUGCUUGUUCAUUUCUAUCGAAGUGAUUUAAAGAAAGAUAAGGAAAAGUUCACAUUGCAGACAGCACAUUCGAAAUUUCGAACAGCAUUUAUUAAAUGCAAAUAGAAUUGGAAGAAGUCUACAUUAAUAGUAUUUGAACACAUACACAAGAGAUCCACCAGCAUUGCCUAAUCUUGUUACAGCUCCAUUUCCAAAUGAGUUAUUAAUGUCAUUCAUAGCUGCUUCCAAUGCUUUCGCCUGUAACAAAAUAUUUACAUCAAAUAUGGACAUUAGAUUAGUUUUGAUUAUGGUCCAUGAAAUAAAUUGUAACAUUCCUCAUUUCCACAUUGUUUGACUUAUGAGCUAAUUUAUUUUUAGACAUCCAUCUUCUUCUUGAAUUGUAUAAUAUCCUAUCAAGUUGAUUAAUCCAAGAACUGUAGUCUGUAGGUGUUUCCCAUAAGAACCUGAGGCAUAUUUGACAUCUUACGUUCUUUCCUAAUCACGGUGCUUCUUAAAGAAUAAUAUUACCUGACAAGAUUAUGAAACUCAGAAAGUAAAGCACCGCAUAUUAUAUCACUAUUUAAGGACUCACCUUCUUUCAAAACUCCACCCAGCUCUAUCAAUUUAGGGUAUAAUAUAUGAUGAAUGCAAUCCCUGUUUACGACUCCUAAUAAUAAUAACAAUGCCGAUGCCUUCUACACCAAGAGUGUGGGAUAGUUCAUAGGAAGUGAAUCAUAUACAGUGAAUCCAAUUCCGUACAUAUCAGACUACUUCAGAUAAACUGGCACAAGCACGGAUAUAGUUGCAACUUUAUCAUUGGAGUACUUUUAACUAAAUCAUCCCUUGCACUAUAAGUCAUAAUAACAAAUUACCUUCUUGGUUAUCUUUUGUACAAGUGGUAUUGCAAGUGUUUUCAGAUUAAAAGCUAAGAGAAAACACCUUUAAAGUUAAAUUCUCAAAUUUUUAAUAUUUAAUCAAUGAUGGACAACAAAAACCAAUAUGAUGAUUAAUUCCUAACAACAAUCAAAAGUGCAGAGAGCAGGGAUUUUGAUUCAAGAGCGUAAAGAGCGCCACGUAAGACGCCCGAGAUUUUGCUUUAUAUAGAUAUAAGAUUUGACAUUCUUUAGUAUAAAAUUUUAAAAAUAAUAUUAAUUACAUAUACGUCAAGUGAGUAGCAUGUAAACUAUGAAUUUUUUUUACAAAGUGCUGAAUCGAUCCUCUGUCAUCACACAAACGUAUUAUAUACAUUCCAUUAAAUGGGUUGCCAGCCUUUGGGUUCUUUUGCCUCAUAUCAGCUGCAUGACCACUGGACACAAAGAGUACAUUGGACAUAUAAAGCUUGUUAGAGAGAUAAAGAUUGACUGUCACGAUUUUGCAUAUACUGUAUGAAGUUUGUACAUGUAACAAAUAAUUUUUGUUGUCUGACAAAUAUCAAGCAAAGUGGGAAUUCCGGAAUGAUAAUGUUGGCAUUUCUCGUUGUCCACUUUGAGGCGGGUUUGGUAGAACUACUGUUUUCCCUUGCCAACCUGACAUAAUGAAUUUCAAUAUUUCACGAAUUACAUAUUCUAUGCAUUAAUUAAAAAAUUGACAGAUAUGAGAGUACUUAAAUAUUAAUAUAUGUGCUCUUAGAUAUCACAACAAAUAAAGUUCAUAUGGAAACUUAUAAAAGUAAAUGCACAACAUACAUAUAUAAUUGAUCCCAAUUGCACGAUAGCGCUGAUUCAAAUGGAUCCUCCCUCGAUGUUUUAAUUUAAAUAAGAGGCCAUUUGGAGACAUGCAUUUCAUUUCAAAUGACAAGAUUUAAGUUGUCAUCUCCAACACUCAAAUUUAUACAAAUAUUUGAAUGUCUGGAUUUCAAAUGAAAUCCAAAUCCACAUUCCCAAACAGAUUAUUUGAUCAAAUCCAAAAUUUCAAAUGAAAUCCAAUUUCCCAAACAGGCCAUAAAUGUAAUCCAACAAGAUACAAUAAAAUCUUAUCAACAAUAUCUGGAUUCUUAAUGACCAUUAAUCGUUCAAUUUCGAGAUUAUGGCUUCCCUUUAUCAUCUCUCCAAUAAGAGAAAGUAUUUUCAUAGAUAGAGAUCGAAAUGUGGUUUAGUUUUUCAAUUACCUUCCAUAUUAUAGUACAAGAACAAGGGCGCUCAAAACUAACACAAAUUACCCACUUAUGUUAUGACAAAAUAUUCCGAUACAGCUAACCAACACAACCAAGGGCACAAUAUAUCAUAGGGUUAGUUACCAGCAUUCAAAACCCAUCAAUAAAUCUGACCACGUAUAUGUUCAAAACAGACAACAAAAAAUUCCGAUCAAGGGCACGAUCUAUCAACAGCAUAUAGCCGACCACUACCAGUUGUCACAUAUAUGUUCAAAACGGACCACAAUUAAAUUGCAUUUAGCUAGUCCAUUAAACAAGCCUUUCAUUACAAAGAUCAGAAUUUUACCCAAUCAGGCAGAUCAUUGUUUUGUUUUUCUGGAGCAUCUUCUUCAUUGUUUACUGCAGGAAGAGAUUUGAUAAUUAGUAUAUUUCAAAUUAGAUAAAUUAACUAUUAAACAAUCAGAAUUGAGAAAUCUAGGGUUUAAAACACAAAAUAUAUACCUGUUUUUAGACUUCGAAACAGAUAGCAUCACGAAACGAUUCAGCACUUUACACUCUAGAUACAUACACACACGAUUAUCAUAGAUCGUUGCGGCGAUGCCCUAAUCUAGGCGAUGCCCUAAUGUAAUUGAGAAGCUGCCGCCUUAACCUACACGACGAGUGAUUUUAUACCUAAAAAUAAAUUGGUUUAACUAAAACGCCUGGGCUUUCUUAUGAGAAAUGGACUUUUCUGUGAGUUAUUUUAUACAAGGGGCCGGCUAACCUGUGCCCUCAGGGCACAGGUUAAAAUGUAUUUAAUGCAUCUUGGUGGUAGCUGACAGCUAAUGUGAUUAUAGUUUUUUGUAACAAUACAUUAAUGACUAAUUACAUUCAAAUCAUAUUUGAUAUUUUAUUUAAUCAUAUAUUAUAUUAUAAUUUGAAUUAUUAUAUUUUUUAAGAAUAUUAAAAUAAUAAAAGACUCAUAAAUUUAUUAUUAAAUAUUAGAUUGGCCGAUUUUAGUUAGAGGGCUGAUUUUAAUUUGAAAAUUAGUGUGCAUGCAGGGGGGCCUUGUUAUUAUUUGUGCGAUGAAAUCAAUUAAAAAUUAUCAUAUAAAAUGUGAUAAAAGAAUUAUUCUAUGUUCCCCCAUUUUUUUGAAAUUUAAUAUUAUUUUAUAAUAAAUAUAUAAUUUAGAAGACAAAUAAAAAAUAGAUGUAUAAUUAGUACUUAAUAAAUUUUUGAAUGAUUCUAUACAAAUACACUGAUAACUAUGCAAACACAAGAGUAGUUGACUGUAUUAAUUCCUACUUAUCCUGUGCCCUCAGGGCACAGGUUAGCCACUCCGUUUAUACAAUAUGAGAUCUGUUCCGGUGGAUCCAGACCGUGCCAAAAGAAUCCGGACUUUUCCGGAAUAGAUUAGAUCGGGCUUUUUUAAAAAUCAGGUUGGGAUGGACUUUCUCAAAAAUACUGAGCCUGGUUUACUUAUAAAAAGUCCAAAUUUUUUAAAAAUCCAAAUUUUAUCCAGAUUUUUUUGAAAAUACUAGGCUUGUUUUAGGCCUUCGGAUUGGGCCGUGCCAGCUCGGGUUUUUUUCAUAUAGGUUUUUCAAAUUUUUUCCCCAGAGAUCAAAUAUGUCCUUUUUAGCUUAGGUUAAGUGUCCAAAAUUUGUUCCCAUAUUUUUUCUCAAAUUUAUUCGAUAUUGUGUGAUUGAUUACACAUAUAAUAAUAAAUAUGCACAUAAAUCACCCAGUUAAAAUUCGUUAUAUGUCUGUCAUGUGAUUUGAAAAAAAAUAAAAAAUUUGAGGACGAAUUUUGAGGUAUGUAGUAUUUUUUUCAAACAAAAUGUCAUUGUUAAAUCAAUAACAAGGAAUUUUUAUCCUCUUCAGUUUAUAGCAUAUUUUUAUAAAUUUACAUAUAAUAAUUAUAUUUUUUAUACUUUUAUGAAAUAUAAAGAGUCGUGAAUAUUUUUUGUCAAAAAAUAGUUCUCACCGCAGUUUAACACCCCAUCACAAACAAAAAUAUCACAUGAGUCGAUAUCCACAAAUUAUAGUUAAAUUAUACACAUUUUAACUAGUCUUAAUAAUUUACAAAAAUUAUUUACAAAUUUAUUAUAUAUCAUAAGAUUGAUCCAAGCCAGUUAAGAUAGUUAAGAUGAUUUCGGUAGUAGGUUGAAUAAUAUCAAAUCAUGUUAAAAAAUAACAUAGAAAAUUUUUACGUAUUCAAUCAUAAAUUUUAAAUAGAAAGAACCAUAAUCUAAUUCGGGUAAAUAUUUAUUUGGAUAUCAUUAAUUACAUAUUAUCAAAAAUCUAGUAUUUCGUUUGUAUUUCGAUUUUAUUUGGGUUAAAUUUCCGAUCCACAUAUUUUUUUUAUCAAUUUAAAUCGAUUUUCGAAUUCUAAUCAAAUUUGAUUAUAUUAUAUUUGAUAUUAGUUUUCACGUGAUUCUAAACAGAUUGGUUCAGAUGGGAUUUACAAUAUUAAUUUAUAUGCGAUUCUAAUAAGAUAUUAAUUAUUAUAUAUUGGGGUCAUGUUCAAAAGAGAACCAUUAGAGAGAGAAAACAGAACUUAAGUAUUAGUUAGGGUUAUGCAUCAGAACUUCACAUGCAAAAAUUGUGAAUAUCUAUGUAUUAUAUUUUAAAAUUAUUUUUGAACACACACAACAAUGAAAAAAAACAUAUAUUUAGAUUUAUAUCCUAAAAAUUUAUUUAAAAUUUAGGGUUUUAUAGUUCUAUUUUAAGGUCUGAUCCUUUCUUGAAUGCGACCUUUAUGUAUUAAUAUAAAAAUUUUAUUAUCUCAUUUUUGAUCACUCAAUGAAAUAACAGUACUAACUACAAAAUUUAUGGAUAUAUGUAAACAAGCAAAUUAGCUAAAAUAUCUUUGUUCUUUUCUUUUUCGAAAAGUUUGAUAUUGCCAAAUACAAAAUUUUACAACAUUAUUUGGUGAGAUUUACUUAGAUUAAUAGUUUUGUUGAUUAAUUCACAACACCAAAAUCAUAAUAAUUAAGGUCAUUUUUGACAAUUUAAAAAGCCUUUCAUUUUCUUAAUAUCGGUUAAAACCAACAUUGCCGUGAAUAAAAAUACUAAAUGAUAAAUAUUUGGUAUAGUUGAUACAUUAAUAUACGUGCAGAAAUGAAUGUAUAUACAAAUUUCACUAGAAGAUCAUAUCCAUAGUGGCAUCACUCGUUAGCCUUAUAGAUAUCAAUACAAGGACUCACACGUAUUUGAAAAAACAACUUGUAUCUAAGUUGUACUUCUGAGCAGCUUUGGUUGGGCUGAUUUGCCAAGUUACCUUUCGAAACUUCUUGAUUCCGAAGUUAUAUUUUCCUUGGGCAUUCCAUAACAGCAACAUUCCAAAGACUCGAAGACAGAAAAAAUUGCAGACCUUGCAACUGGGAAUCACUGCCUUUAUUAUCUCCGCUGCUGUUAUCGGCCUCUUGAAUUCUUUUUACAGUAUGUCUUACAGUAUUUUUGGGCAACUAAUCAUCGGCAAGAACAAUUUGUGCUCGACAAACACUGAUUUACUGAGAUAUGAUGGUAUCCCUGACACCUGAGAGUUCAAUAUUUAGGAAGUCGGGUAUCAGUUCGAUAAUUAAUACCUUACUAUAGAAUGCGGAACAGACAGUCUUAAUGAUCUAUAAAGACUUAUACCACACAAAAUUGACAGAGCAAAACAUGACCAUUUACAUUACAGUAUGCAGAGUAAAAUAAUCAAAUUUGUGAAAGAAACAAGGUAGUACGAACUAUGAAGCAAUAAUCCAAUUAUUAUGCAAAGAAACCCAUACAUAAUCUUCUAGUGGAAGACUAUCAACUUAACUGAUACAAAAUCUCAUUCUCAAAAGCCGCUUUAUCCGAAAACCAAUGCAAAAUAUUAAUUCACUCAGAAUCUUCCUGUUACAGGACUGAUUAGACAAGAGUACAGAAAUAUGCCUGUGAGAUAGAGGAAGAGAAAGGAAGGGAGGGAUAGGCUUACUCAUUUAGCUUACGAACAUCAUAUUAAAUCAUACUUCCUAUGUUCUACAACAGUAUUGGUAUAAUUAUUAAAUCAUAUUAGUGUAUAAUAUUUGCGUGCUAUAAAAGUAUUUGUAUUUUUCUACAAAAAUAUUGCAUUAUAAAAUAAUUUUCUACUAUAUUAAUAUAUGUUCCGCAGCAGUAUAACGUAGUAAUAUGUAUUUUUCUAUAAAAAUAUUGCAUUAUAAAAUAAUUUUCUACUAUAUUAAUAUAUGUUCCGCAUCAGUAUGACGUAUUUUCCUAUAAUAAUAUUGUAUAAUAAAAUCAUUUUUAAUUAUAUUAAUAUAUGUUCCGCAUCAGUAUGACGUAUUUUCCUAUAAUAAUAUUGUAUAAUAAAAUCAUUUUUAAUUAUAUUAAUAUAUGUUCCGCAGCAGUAUGACGUAGUAAUUUGUAUUGAAGAUCUUUAACAAAUAUUCUGCAGCAGUACAAGCCUAUAAGUUAUAUGAUUGAAUUAUAUAAUUUUGGAAAGUUUACAUUAAUCAUGGAAUUAAAUAUUGUCAUUUAAUGAAGGUUCUAAGGUUCUAAAAUUAAGAGGUUCUAUGUGGAACCUGACCCUGUAUAUAUAUAUAUAGGGAAGUGCUCAAAUACAAACUAAGUUAGUGUACAAACUACAAACUUAAUAUAAGCCCUUGGAUGAAUCUAAUCCAAUGGCCCCGCAGGGGCAACCACACACCAGUUAAUAUGCACCCUGCCACACAUGAUCCACAGAAUCCCCUCCAUUUUUAAUUUGAAUUUUCCCGUCAAUCGGUGAACUUUUUUUGAAAUCAGAUUUCACUGUAUUUUUGUUCAUCUCCCAACGAUUAAUUUCCAUACCAUAUGUGCUAUAUUCCGAUUUGAUUUAGAGACAUUUUAAUUUUGGUUUGUAGUUUGUACGCUAAGAAGGUUUGUACGAGAGUAAGACCCUAUAUAUAUAGUUAUUGACAUUGAUUUUAGACGAAAAAGGAAAUUGUUUUUGUUUAAACUCUAAUCAAUUUGAUUUUGUUUGUUUAAACUCUAAUCAAUUUGUUUCGUGACAAAUUCAUAUGUCGCAUUCUAGCUUUCUCAUCGGUAUUACAUUCAAUCAUACAGAUUAUUACAAACAUCGUUAAGAUAUUCUAUAUUAUGAAUUAUAUAUUUUGAACAAGCAUCGUUAAGAUUUUCAUCUAUAUUUUUUAUUUCCUUAAAAUUAAUAUAUUUAACUAAUCAUCACUUGCUUGUACAUUCAUCUAACAAUAAAAUGUUUUAUGUCUUCCAUCACUAAGAUCACAAAAACAUCCAACUUCGGCACCUAAACAAAUGCUAUAUAACCCGGAAGAAAAUUGGUCAAUUAUGAACCACUGUUCCAAAAUGCAGAAUCCUGUUUUAACACACACACAAGCUUAUUAUAUACAUUAUACAGGUCAAUAAAUAAACAGACAAAUACUAGAAAUACUUCAAGUAACUUAAUGGUUACUUGAACAUCAUCUAUUUUAAGUCUUUUGAGCCCUGAUCUUACAUAGGAAUAAGAAUAAGACAAUAUGGUUACUAGCAAAUUAGCGGGCCUUAGAUAAUUGUUUUUCAUCAUUUUGGAGCAUCAUCUUCAUUGUUUACUGCAAAUCAUCUUCCUUGUUUACUGCAAAGAAGAAUGUGAAAAUCAGUAACUUUCAUACUAGAAAAUAUAAUAAAUUUCAAGUACAUUAUAACUUAAUUAUAAGCAUACCUUCACCAUUUAUGAGCCAUCCGUCUCCCGGAUAUUAUUAAACAAAACAAUCUUUACGUGAAUAAGACUGUAUUGGGUUUGUUUUAUGGCAGGGUCGGCUAGGAGCUCAGCACAAAAUUCUAGACACCUACAUAGAGCUCGCUGAGGGAAGAUGGAACUCAUCCUUGUGCUUUGGAACAAGGUCGGAAAUUCCUAGAGGUGGUGCCAGCCUCUAGGUUCUUUUACCUCGUCAGCUGCAUAAACACAAACACUGAACACAGGGCACAGUGGACAUAUAAUAUAUCUUAGAAAAAUAAGGACGGAAAUUUCAUAAUUUUGCAUAUAUUGUAGGAAGUGUACAUAUAAAAACCAAUUUUUUUGUUAUACAAAAAUCAAGCGAAAGGUGAGGAAUACCAUCUCGAGAAAUGUUGGCAUUUCUCUUUGUCCACUUGGUGCCAAUUCUGGUAAAAUUAAUUUUAUUCCUUGCCGACCUGACAUAAUAAAUUACAUAUUCUACGCAUUAAUUAAAAAAUUAACAAUUAUGAGAGUACUUCAAUACUAAUUUAUGUCCUUUCAGAUAUCACAAUAAAUAAAGUUCAUACAGAAACCUAUAAACGUAAAUGCACAGGCUACAUACAUAAUUAAUCACAAAUUGCAAGAUAGUGCCGCUUGGAUGCAUCCUCUCAGAGUGUUUUGAAUUAAAUAAAUGUGAUUCAACAAUAUAUAACACAAUAGUAUCAACAAUAUCUGGAUUCUUAAUGCCCAUUCAUUGUUAAUUUUCGAGACUGUUUGGUUUCCCUUUAUUAUCUCUAUCCAACAAGCAAUGGUAUCUAAUAACAAUAGAAAGCUUUCCAUAGACAUACAGAAAUCAAAAAGCAGUUUACUUUUCUAAUUAACUUCUACAUUAUACUACGAGAAAUAGGGUGCUCAAAACUAACACAAAAUAGUAUCACAAUAUCUGGAUUCUUAAUGCCCAUCCAUUGUUAAUUUUCAAGACUGUUUGGUUUCUCUUUAUUAUCUCUAUCCACCAAGCAAUGAUCUCUUACAACAAUAGAAAGCUAAAGUAUUUCCAUAGACAUACAGAAUCAAAAAAUAGUUUCCUUUUCUAAUUAACUUCUACAUUAUACUACAAGAAAAAGGGUGCUCAAAACUAACACAAAAUAUUCCAAUACAGCUAACCAACACAAUCACGAUAUGUUCAAAACAGACCACAAUUACCAAAGGUCGUUCAAAACUAAUCACAAAUUACCCUGAUCCAGUGACAAAAUAUUCCGAUACAGCCAACCAACACAAUCAAGUGCACGAUCAAUCAUAAAUAUUCCGAUACAGCUAACCAACACAAUCAAGGGCACGAUCUACCAAUUAUCACAUAUAUGUUCAAAACAGACUACAAUCAUAUGAGAUUUAGCUAGUCAAUUAAACAAGCUUUCAUUACAGAUCAGAAUUUUACCCACCAGGAGAAGUUCUUAAGUGCACAAUGUCAUCAAUGUCGUCCUCAUCAUCAAUCCACCCGUAACAAGGCCUGCGUCGUUUCCUUGGAAUAGUUCCGCCUGGUGCUUGUGGAGGGAGGAUGGCCAGGGAAAGCUCGGUGUUAGUAUUACCGAGGUUGACAUCUGAGCUGAUAACAGGGGCCAUAAGAUUAACAUCACGUCCACGGGACGCUUCCAUACCUUCACCAUGGAGAACAACAUUCUCAUCAUUCUAUGUGUGUGGUGACUAAUAUCAUAUUACAUUCUGCAAUUUAAAAUUUUGCUAUCCUGACCUUUAUGUAAUAACAUUGUUUCACCAUAAAGUCAAUAUGAUUGUAUCAUACAAAUAUUGGCGAGGCAUAAACUCAACUUAUUUUUCUUAAACGAGAUGAUAAUUCUUAUAGUGUACCUGUAUUGUCAGAAUUUUACCCACUGAGGCAGCAAUAGAACAAAGUUUUGUUUUUCUGGAGCAUCUUCUUCAUUGUUUACUGAAACAAAAAAAGCAAAAUUAGCGAGUUUCAUAUCAGAUAAAUUAGCUAUAAAACAAUCGGAAUUGAGAAAUCUAGGGCUUAAAAACACAAAAUAUAUACCUGUUUUUGGGCUUCGAAACGGAUCACAUAAUGAAUUUGAAACAUCGAUCCAGCGAUUCAGCACUGAAUUAUGAAUACACUCAAACACACACGAUUAUUAUCGAUCGACGCGGCGUGCCCUAGUCUAAUUGGGAAGCCGCCGCCUUAACCUGCACGAGGAGGAGUUUACAGGUGAUUUUAUACCUAAAACAUAUGGGCUAGGGUUUCUUAUGAAUAAUCUAAAUGGGCUUUUUUAAGUGAUGGGCUAGGGUUUAAUCUGAAUAAUCGGAAUGGGUUUUUUUUAAGUGAUGGACUGUUAUUGUGAUUGUUCAUAAACACGUUUGACUGUUUUUAUUUUGAAUUAGAUGAUGGUGAAAAGCUUCGUGGCGAUAUAUACUGAUUUUCUUCACUAAAUCAUGGAUCAAGUUCUCCGUAGUUUAAAAUUUUUAAAAAUGUUGAAAGUUUUGAUAUUUAAGCAAAUUUAUUUUAAAAUAUAUGAUAAUAAGUCCAUUUAUAAAAAAAUAAUNUCCGUAGUUUAAAAAUUUUAAAAAUGUUGAAAGUUUUGAUAUUUAAGCAAAUUUAUUUUAAAAUAUAUGAUGAUAAGUCCAUUUAUAAAAAAAAAAUUUAAAUUUAAAUUUUAAUAUUAAAAUAUGUAUUAUAGUCUCGGAAAAAAAUAUGAUCAUAGUCUCGGAAAAAAAAGUAAGUCUUUUUCUAUAUCAAAAUAUUUGAAAUGAAUUUUUAAAUUCUAAUUUGAUAUUUAUUAAUGUAUGCAGUUUUUAUUUUUGAUAUAUUGAAAAAAGUAGUUUUGAAACUUUCCUCCAAUAUAUCCGAAACUGAAAAAGGUAAUUUUUAUUUUUGAUAUUUACAAAAUUAAAAAUAUAAUUCGAAACUUUCUUCCAAUAAUUUUGAUACAGAAAAAGGUAGGUAGAUUUAAUUUUUGAUAUACUGAAAAUGAUAGUUCUACAACUUGCUUCUAAUAUACCCGAAACUAAAAAAAGUAGUUUUUAUUUUUGAUAUUUUUCAUCCAAAAAUUUCAGAAAAUUGGAGGAAAAAAAGUAAGUUUUUUUCCAUAUCAAAAUAAUCGAAAAGAAAUUUCAAAUUCUGAUUUGAUAUUUAUUAAGUUAGUUUUUAUUUUUGAUAUAUAGAAAAAUGAUGUUUUGAAACUUUCCUUCAAUAUCCGAAAUUGAAAAUGGUGAUUUUUAUACAAAAAAAAAAAUGUAGAUAGGUAGAUUUUANNNNNNNNNNNNNNNNNNNNNNNNNNNNNNNNNNNNNNNNNNNNNNNNNNNNNNNNNNNNNNNNNNNNNNNNNNNNNNNNNNNNNNNNNNNNNNNNNNNNNNNNNNNNNNNNNNNNNNNNNNNNNNNNNNNNNNNNNNNNNNNNNNNNNNNNNNNNNNNNNNNNNNNNNNNNNNNNNNNNNNNNNNNNNNNNNNNNNNNNNNNNNNNNNNNNNNNNNNNNNNNNNNNNNNNNNNNNNNNNNNNNNNNNNNNNNNNNNNNNNNNNNNNNNNNNNNNNNNNNNNNNNNNNNNNNNNNNNNNNNNNNNNNNNNNNNNNNNNNNNNNNNNNNNNNNNNNNNNNNNNNNNNNNNNNGAAUUUGAAACAUCGAUCCAGCGAUUCAGCACUGAAUUAUGAAUACACUCAAACACACACGAUUAUUAUCGAUCGACGCGGCGUGCCCUAGUCUAAUUGGGAAGCCGCCGCCUUAACCUGCACGAGGAGGAGUUUACAGGUGAUUUUAUACCUAAAACAUAUGGGCUAGGGUUUCUUAUGAAUAAUCUGAAUGGGCUUUCUUUAAGUGAUGGGCUAGGGUUUAAUCUGAAUAAUCGGAAUGGGCUUUUUUUAAGUGAUGGACUGUUAUUGUGAUUGUUCAUAAACACGUUUGACUGUUUUUAUUUUGAAUUAGAUGAUGGUGAAAAGCUUCGUGGCGAUAUAUACUGAUUUUCUUCACUAAAUCAUGGAUCAAGUUCUCCGUAGUUUAAAAAUUUUAAAAAUGUUGAAAGUUUUGAUAUUUAAGCAAAUUUAUUUUAAAAUAUAUGAUGAUAAGUCCAUUUAUAAAAAAAAAAUUUAAAUUUAAAUUUUAAUAUUAAAAUAUGUAUUAUAGUCUCGGAAAAAAAUAUGAUCAUAGUCUCGGAAAAAAAAGUAAGUCUUUUUCUAUAUCAAAAUAUUUGAAAUGAAUUUUUAAAUUCUAAUUUGAUAUUUAUUAAUGUAUGCAGUUUUUAUUUUUGAUAUAUUGAAAAAAGUAGUUUUGAAACUUUCCUCCAAUAUAUCCGAAACUGAAAAAGGUAAUUUUUAUUUUUGAUAUUUACAAAAUUAAAAAUAUAAUUCGAAACUUUCUUCCAAUAAUUUUGAUACAGAAAAAGGUAGGUAGAUUUAAUUUUUGAUAUACUGAAAAUGAUAGUUCUACAACUUGCUUCUAAUAUACCCGAAACUAAAAAAAGUAUUUUUUAUUUUUGAUAUUUUUCAUCCAAAAAUUUCAGAAAAUUGGAGGAAAAAAAGUAAGUUUUUUUCCAUAUCAAAAUAAUCGAAAAGAAAUUUCAAAUUCUGAUUUGAUAUUUAUUAAGUUAGUUUUUAUUUUUGAUAUAUAGAAAAAUAUAUAUAGUUUAAACUUUAAACCUCAUUCAUCUUUGUAUCACCAUCAAAAUGAGAUCAUUCAUCUUUUUAUCACCGUCAUAAUUAACUUUGGAAGAUAUAAAGUUCUCAUAUUGACUUGCAUGGGAAACUGGGAGCUCAUACUAAGACUCCUAUAUUCUUUUACAUUUGUAAAACUAGGAGGGGUGUAUUGGAUUGGGAUUUUAAAGCAUUUUUUUGCAUUCAUGAAAUCCGAGGGUAUUCGAUUGGGAUUGUUUGAAAUCCAUUAAAAUCUUGAGGUAUUCAAUUGGGAUUUUAAACUAUGCUACAAAAUCUAGUGGUAUUCAAUUGGGAUUUUAAAUUAUGCUUUAAAAUCCGAUGGUAUUCAAUUGGGAUUGUUUAAAAUCCAUUAAAAUCUGAUGGUAUUCAAAUGCUGAUGGAUUUUUUUUCAUUUCAUAAAAUGAUGGAUUUUGUGGCAUUCUUCAGUGUAUUUCAAGUUUUUUGAAAUCCCACCAAAUUCAAUGAGAUUUUGAAGCAUUGUACCUAAAUUCUAUCAACUCUGCGACAUUUCAUCAAGAAUCCGCAAAAAAUCAAAAUCCCAUACAAUCCAUUAAAAUCCAUAGACUAAAAACAAUGCAUUAAAAUCCCAAUCGAAUACACCCCCAUAGGUGUGAAGACCACGCGUCAGGAAAAACAUUUUUCGGGAGCACAUUAUCAAAACAAAUAAGCUGUUUGUUUAUAAUCUUAAAUAACAAUAUUAGUUGUUAUAUUAUCAUUUUUAUCACAAGUUCCCAAACUGCUUGCAAGUUGGGAAAGUUUCCUGAAAAGGAAUCUGUUCUGCUUUUCUUCCAAGUAUUAUAUCACACUCUCAUUCUUUCAUUUUCAUGUCAGCAAUAACAAUGGAAAAUAUGCUUUGGCAAUACUGAUACCAUUCAAGCUGAGGUGUACCAGAGUAGAUAAAUUCAAUAACCAACCAAAUAUGCCACCUUGUAGAAUACCAGUGUGGCCGAGAUUAAGCUGCUGUAAUUUGAAAAGAUUACCAAGCUGAUGUUGAAUGGCUCCAGAAAAAAGGUUAUCAAAGAUCGAGGUAUGUGAAGCUGGUGAAAGAAGGAAUGAAAAAAAAAUAAAAAACUUUAAAAUUGCAAAUUUAAACUUUUACAUUAAAGAUAACACAUUUGUCUAAAAGUUGAGAACCAAAUGAAUAGCAGCUUAUACAAUAUCUUAAUCAAGACAAGACAAUUUUUGUCCACCAUUAUCCUACAAUUUGCAAAGCCUCAAAGGCUGCUCACACUAAAAGAAGUCCCAAAACAUUUCAUAAAUUUUUAAGUUAAAGUAGUUGAAGUACAUCCUCUGUUUUCUCUGAGCAAACAUCCUCUUUUGUAAUUGGAUUUUAAAGGUGUGCUCUAUCUCUCGCUUUCACAGAGCAUUUCUCUCAGUAAUACAACGGCCUCCAUAACAGAAAAUUCUUUCAUCCAUUUGGCCACCCCUUCGCCAAAUUUGUCUGCCCAAUAUAUUUCGGAUCAAUGGCCAUAAAAAUCUUUACGCAACUCCUAAAACCAUCUUCGAAGGCCUCUUUUAUUUUUUUGUUUCUCAACAGCUCAAUUGUUGGCCCUGUCGAGUGACGCCAAUGCAAGAACAUCCUUGAAAGCUCACAGGCCUAGAACUGAAAACAAUCUUAUAAAUAAAAAGAUAUUCUUUAAAACAUUAAACUUUAUCUCUACAAGAAUAGUCUAUAUCUAUGUGUAAUCACAAUUUAUUACGAUUACGAACUAACAAUAUAUAAGCAGACAAACUUAGGCACAUCGUCAUAGAAUGAACAACAAAGUUAUACAACUUAUUUAAAAACAUCAGUUGGGAAAAGCAGUAUAAAGAGGUAGAGACUUGGUGGCCUCAGAUAAAGGACGUUGUGCGAAUAUAACCUGGCUUUCUACUUGCUGGCACCAUAGUGGUGAAUUGAGCCAUUUCUCACCAAAAUCUUACUUGCAAAUUUGCUAGCUAUUAAUACAUUUAAUGGUUGAAUAUUCUUUAUUAGAUUGUAUUCUAAUAAUUAACUUGUGUUUUAUCCUUUAUUAUACAUAAAGAUAUAUAAUAUUUAGAAGUAAUUUCUGAAAAUUCCAUUGACUCCUGUUUCACACUGUGCCCACUUACAGGACUUGUUCUAGGGAAAGUGACUUGUGCCUCCAAGCAUUUCAAGCUCAAACUGUGAAGCCCAAAUAAUAUAGCAGGCAAGUAGCUUACUAUAUGUAGCAGUAAAGACAAAGACAAUGCUACUAUGCCGGAAAAAAUUGCAAGGGCACUCGCAAAGGAUCAGAUAUACCUAAUGCAGAAUAACCCGAAGGAGGAAGUUCAUUAUUCACCUCGAUACUCAGUUAACAGUUUUUAACUUAUAGAAAACCAACAACUUCAAGCAGAAAAAGAUCAGGUAGAGCAAUAGUAGCUAGUUGAUGCAAAAAUUAAAUGCCUCAAAGAGUCUGAUACGAAGUUAGUUAAGUGUGUGGCUGUGUGCAUAUGUGGAGAGAGUUACCAUAGCAUAUAGCAAGGAUAAAGAAGCUUAUCAAUUCAUUCUAUCAAGCAAUAAUAAUUCAGCUUACCUGAAUUCAUAAGCGGAAGUACAAAGAAAAGUUCAGAGAGUCCCACGAGAGAAUGAAUCGUGUCUGAACUGAUUGCCCAUACAAGAUCUCCCUGAAAAGAAGAUUGAAGUCCGAGAAAUGACACAAUAAAUGAGAAGAUUUCUAUCAUAAAUCACAAGUGCUUGUAAAAUAAAAUUGCAUGUGGAAUGACUAAGCUGCAACUACGUAUUACCUUGAGCUGCAAAAACAUUUCAUAUGUGAAUACAAGAAACAAAUGACAACUAUUAUUAGCAAGGCAUGAACACACAAGUCCCCUUAAAAUAAGUUGAAAAAAAUAAUCACCACCUGUGGAAUGUAACGAUGGCUCUUGCGCUUAGGUUGGUGAACUGCUGCUGAGGAGCAGUCACUUAGAACAGUCUCCACUUGCGCUGGAGGUUUGUUUUUGAGCAUACAGCUGGAUGCCUGGAUUUUCCUCACCUUUCCUUGCCUCUGUCAAAUCUAAGACUUUAUCCUAAUCAUCACCGAUUAAAAAAUCAAAAUCCACGAUAAAUUAAGCAUCAAAACCCUAAUGAAACACAGACACCAAUUCAAAUACACAUAGAAAUUGAUAAAGACAACGAACUGCGCAUACAUAAAAAUCUGCUGCUAUGCUCUCCGGAUAAAUCAGAAGGAGAUAACUGCCCACGACUAUGAUCAUAUAACAUAAAUCAACCCUGAAAAUCAGCAAGAAUAACAUACAUACCCGCUUUGACCCUCUAGCUGAAUCCGUCAUAUUCAUGCCGAUCGGCUUUCCCCGGUGUGAAAAGAUUGUCCAGAGAAGGCCAUUUAUAAGUAAAUCUCUGAGGAGGCACAGAGACCUCGGUUACGGAGCGGGUAACUGAAGUGCCUGUCCAAGUCCCAGGCUGAACAUAACCGCUAGGCAAGCUGAGAGAAAAUAUAAAAGAAAUAGACAAAAGUGCAGAGAGCAGGGAUUUUGAUUCAAGAGCGUAAAGAGCGCCACGUAAGACGCCCGAGAUUUUGCUUUAUAUAGAUAUAAGAUUUGACAUUCUUUAGUAUAAAAUUUUAAAAAUAAUAUUAAUUACAUAUACGUCAAGUGAGUAGCAUGUAAACUAUGAAUUUUUUUUACAAAGUGCUGAAUCGAUCCUCUGUCAUCACACAAACGUAUUAUAUACAUUAUAUAGGUAAAUAAAUAAACAGACAAAUAUAAAAACUACUUGAGUAACUUAGAUUUUAAGUCUUUUGAGCAUUGAUGUUACAUAGAAAUAAGAAUAAGACAAUAUGGUAAGGAAUACAUUGGUAGGUUCAACUACUUGGAAAAAAAUCAUCUACAUUGCCAGCUUUUAACUUAGUUCUUGCAAUUUCAAAAGUUCCCGAUAUGUCGCGUUGCUUUAUCUUCAACGAAAUAACCAAGUAGACAAGCAGCAGCUUCUUAAUAGCAGAUAAGUAGCAGAUUAGCCAGCCUUAGUUACUGUUUUCCAUCUUUUUGGAGCAUCAUCUUCAUUGUCUACUGCAAGAAGAAAUUUGAAAACCAGUGAAUUGAAUACUAGAAAACUUAAUAGAUUUUUCAAGUACAUUAUAACUAUAUAACAAGCAUACCUUCACCAUCUCUGAGCCAUACGUAUCCCGGAUAUUAAACAAGAUAAUCUUCACGUGAAAAAGAUUGUACUGAGUUUGUUUUACAAUACCUCAAAGUGUGUACGAAAACAUACCUUUAAAAAGAAGUAAAGAUAUAUCACAAACUAAUAACUUUCAACCAAACUAUACAAUAUACUACGACAGAAAGUUUAAUACUCCCUCUGUCCCGGUUACAUUUUAACCGACUUUGACUUUUUAACACGUAUAUUGAGAUGCAAAAAAAUAAUAUCUACACUGAAUAAAAAAAUUCAAUUCUUAUACCAAAUAAUAGUUUAGAUUCUAAACGUUUAAUUGAUAUGAAUUUUAUAAAGAAUUAUUAUGUUUACAUGUGAUUUUCCUAACACCUUAAAAUACAUGUAAAAAAGUCAAAAGCAGUUAAAAUGAGACGGAGAGAGCAUAUAGAACAAGAUAUUUGUGUGCACAUAAAGUCUCUUACCUCAACAAUAUUUCCUCUAGGAAGGCCGACACCCAAUGCAAUGUCCAAUGUCAGACAACCACUUGGAAAAGAGUCACUGCAGUAGACCAAAUUGGAGAACAGGGCAAUUUGUAAGUAAUGAAAACUGAGAGUGUGUGCUUGUUCAUUUCUAUCGAAGUGAUUUAAAGAAAGAUAAGGAAAAGUUCACAUUGCAGACAGAACAUUCGAAAUUUCGAACAGCGUUUAUUAAAUGCAAAUAGAAUUGGAAGAAGUCUACAUUAAUAGUAUUUGAACACAUACACAAGAGAUCCACCAGCAUUGCCUAAUCUUGUUACAGCUCCUUUUCCAAAUGAGUUAUUAAUGUCAUUCAUAGCUGCUUCCAAUGCUUUCGCCUGUAACAAAAUAUUUACAUCAAAUAUGGACAUUAGAUUAGUUUUGAUUAUGGUCCAUGAAAUAAAUUGUAACAUUCCUCAUUUCCACAUUGUUUGACUUAUGAGCUAAUUUAUUUUUAGACAUCCAUCUUCUUCUUGAAUUGUAUAAUAUCCUAUCAAGUUGAUUAAUCCAAGAACUGUAGUCUGUAGGUGUUUCCCAUAAGAACCUGAGGCAUAUUUGACAUCUUACGUUCUUUCCUAAUCACGGUGCUUCUUAAAGAAUAAUAUUACCUGACAAGAUUAUGAAACUCAGAAAGUAAAGCACCGCAUAUUAUAUCACUAUUUAAGGACUCACCUUCUUUCAAAACUCCACCCAGCUCUAUCAAUUUAGGGUAUAAUAUAUGAUGAAUGCAAUCCCUGUUUACGACUCCUAAUAAUAAUAACAAUGCCGAUGCCUUCUACACCAAGAGUGUGGGAUAGUUCAUAGGAAGUGAAUCAUAUACAGUGAAUCCAAUUCCGUACAUAUCAGACUACUUCAGAUAAACUGGCACAAGCACGGAUAUAGUUGCAACUUUAUCAUUGGAGUACUUUUAACUAAAUCAUCCCUUGCACUAUAAGUCAUAAUAACAAAUUACUUGCCAACAAGUUAGAAUCUCCAGAAUGCACCAUUCCAAAUAACUAAAAUAAGAGCAAAAUUAUAUACUUCAACAACUAAUUAACGACCAAAAAAUUAUGGCUAGGAACAGAACACAGUAAACAGAAUACACAAAAUAACAAAUAUAUAUCACAUUUCCACAAUAACAAUUAACAUAAGCUGAUUACAUUACCGUAAAAAAACACAUAAAACCCUUCCAACUCUAAUAUACUUCUACUUCUAUCCCUAUCAAACAACACCUCAAAUGUUCUUCGCAUAUAAUUCCUACAUUUUUUGCUAUAAAUUACCCUACAGCACGACGAAGAUGCCCGGCCUGUGAUCGCAUAAUUGGGACCGUGUAUUGGGACGAGGAUAAAAAGAACAUCAUCGGUGUACCAGUUUCUUUCAGACAAAAGUGGAAGCGUUAAGCUCCUUUAAUAGGUCUUAGCAGAAAUGUAAUUAAAAAAUAACUGGGGUAUACUUGUCAUUUCACAAGUAUUAUUUAGGCAUAUUUUUCCCGUGGUUGGCUUAUUAUAUAUAGAAGUAGAUUGUUCUCGCCAAUUCAGUGGUGCGGAUAAAAAUGUUUGAUUCUUCUACAUACAUACCAAAAUUUAAUAUUUUUAUAUUAAUUCCCUAAUUUUUCUAAAUUAAUAUAUUUAUCAAUUCACAGUUUCAGAAUUAAUAUAUUUAUAAAUUUCUUGUACAUUAAUCAAUACUAUGUUCUCUGUUCUUCCACCAAUAACUUCACGAAAACAUUAACUUUGGCACCUAAGCAAAUCCUACAGAAAUCUGUAGACAACUGGUAAACUAAGAAAAAUCAUUCCAAAGUACAGACUCGAUCUUGGGUUAACAAACACAUAUUAUACAUCGUUUAGCUCAAUAAAUAAAUAGACAAAUAUAAAAACUACUUCAAGUAACUUGCACGUGCUGAACAUCAUCGAUUUUAAGUCUUUUGAGCCCUGAUUUUACAUGGGAAUAAGUAUAAGACAAUAUUGUAAAGAAUACAUAUGCAGAACUGCAUGGAAGAAGGUUAUCACUUUUAACUCGGUUCUUGCGAUUUCAAAAGUUCCACGAUGUGCUGCUUCGUUCCUUUUAUCUUUCUCUUUGUAGAAGCCAGUUUAAUUUUCAUAUUACCUUCUUGGUUAUCUUUUGUACAAGUGGUAUUGCAAGUGUUUUCAGAUUAAAAGCUAAGAGAAAACACCUUUAAAGUUAAAUUCUCAAAUUUUUAAUAUUUAAUCAAUGAUGGACAACAAAAACCAAUAUGAUGAUUAAUUCCUAACAACAAUCUUAUCAUGUCUUUUUAGAUUACUUCAAGUAACUUGCACGUGCUGAACAUCAUCGAUUUUAAGUCUUUUGAGCCCUGAUUUUAAAUGGGAAUAAGUAUAAGACAAUAUUGUAAAGAAUACAUAUGCAGAACUGCAUGGAAGAAGGUUAUCACUUUUAACUCGGUUCUUGCGAUUUCAAAAGUUCCACGAUGUGCUGCUUCGUUCCUUUUAUCUUUCUCUUUGUAGAAGCCAGUUUAAUUUUCAUAUUACCUUCUUGGUUAUCUUUUGUACAAGUGGUAUUGCAAGUGUUUUCAGAUUAAAAGCUAAGAGAAAACACCUUUAAAGUUAAAUUCUCAAAUUUUUAAUAUUUAAUCAAUGAUGGACAACAAAAACCAAUAUGAUGAUUAAUUCCUAACAACAAUCUUAUCAUGUCUUUUUAGAAAUAAAAUGAUAUACAGGUAUGGGAAAAAAGACGCAAGAACUACAGGUUAAACUAAUAUAUUUGGGUCAAUGCAUAAUUAUAGGGAAAUUAUUUAUAUGUUAAUGAAUUAAGUAAGAAGUAGAUCUACCUUCAGCAAUUGUGUGCUCUUCUGAUGUUCUCUCGCACACAGUUCGCCGAGUCACAAGGAAUCCCUCGCAGUGGUCACAAAUUAUCUCCCAUUUAAUAGGUGCAAUUUCAUUAAAUGGGUUGCCAGCCUUUGGGUUCUUUUGCCUCAUAUCAGCUGCAUGACCACUGGACACAAAGAGUACAUUGGACAUAUAAAGCUUGUUAGAGAGAUAAAGAUUAUAUGUCACGAUUUUGCAUAUACUGUAUGAAGUUUGUACAUGUAACAAAUAAUUUUUGUUGUCUGACAAAUAUCAAGCAAAGUGGGAAUUCCGCAAUGAGAAUGUUGGCAUUUCUCGUUGUCCACUUUGAGGCGGGUUUGGUAGAACUACUGUUUUCCCUUGCCAACCUGACAUAAUGAAUUUCAAUAUUUCACGAAUUACAUAUUCUAUGCAUUAAUUAAAAAAUUGACAGAUAUGAGAGUACUAAAAUAUUAAUAUAUGUGCUCUUAGAUAUCACAACAAUAAAGUUCAUAUCAUAUGGAAACCUAUAAAAGUAAAUGCACAACAUACAUAUAUAAUUGAUCCCAAUUGCACGAUAGCGCUGAUUCAAAUGGAUCCUCCCUCGAUGUUUUAAUUUAAAUAAGAGGCCGUUUGGAGACAUGCAUUUCAUUUCAAAUGACAAGAUUUAAGUUGUCAUUUCAAACACUCAAAUUUAUACAAAUAUUUGAAUGUUUGGAUUUCAAAUGAAAUCCAAAUCCACAUUCCCAAACAGAUUAUUUGAUCAAAUCCAAAAUUUCAAAUGAAAUCCAAUUUCCCAAACAGGCCAUAAAUGUAAUCCAACAAGAUACAAUAAAAUCUUAUCAACAAUAUCUGGAUUCUUAAUGACCAUUAAUCGUUCAAUUUCGAGAUUAUGGCUUCCCUUUAUCAUCUCUCCAAUAAGAGAAAGUAUUUUCAUAGAUAGAGAUCGAAAUGUGGUUUAGUUUUUCAAUUACCUUCCAUAUUAUAGUACAAGAAAAAGGGCGCUCAAAACUAACACAAAUUACCCACUUAUGUUAUGACAAAAUAUUCCGAUACAGCUAACCAACACAACCAAGGGCACAAUAUAUCAUAGGGUUAGUUACCAGCAUUCAAAACCCAUCAAUAAAUCUAACCACGUAUAUGUUCAAAACAGACCACAAAAAAUUCCGAUCAAGGACACGAUCUAUCAUCAGCAUAAAGCCGACCACUACCAAUUGUCACAUAUAUGUUCAAAACAGACCACAAUUAAAUGGCAUUUAGCUAGUCCAUUAAACAAGCCUUUCAUUACAAGUAUCAGAAUGUUACCCAAUCAGGCAGAUCAUUGUUUUGUUUUUCUGGAGCAUCUUCUUCAUUGUUUACUGCAAGAAGAAAUCUGAUAAUUAGUGUAUUUCAAAUUAGAUAAAUUAACUAUUAAACAAUCAGAAUUGAGAAAUCUAGGGCUUAAAAACACAACAUAUAUACCUGUUUUUAGACUUCGAAACAGAUAGCAUCACGAAACGAUUCAGCACUUUACACUAUAGAUACAUACACACACGAUUAUCAUAGAUCGUUGCGGCGAUGCCCUAAUCUAGGCGAUGCCCUAAUGUAAUUGAGAAGCUGCCGCCUUAACCUACACGACGAGUGAUUUUAUACCUAAAAAUAAACUGGGUUAACUAAAAGGCCUAGGCUUUCUUACGAGUAUUGGAUUUUUCCGUGAGUUAUUUUAUAAAAGGUCCAGGUACAUGUCAUACAUAAGUCAGGGGCUUUCUUAUGAGUAAUGGACUUUUUCGUGAGUUAUUUUAUAAAGGGUCCAGGUACAUGCUAUACAGUAUACAUAAUUCAGGACCACAGCUUCUUGGCCAUUGGAUCUAGUGAUGAGGAUUAUUACAAAAUAUGUCCGGCGCAAGAAGAAAGACCCUCAACGCUUUUUAACUGUUGGACAGGAAAAAUGACCAUGUCCAUGAUUAAAAAACGCCGGACAUAACUUGUUCCGUGCUUAAAAAAUGCUAUCAUGACUCUUGAAUAUUCAUCGAACGGUCAUAAACCAGUGUGUUGGUUAAGGCUUCCUCGCAUACAUAUGUCAGGGACCAACUCCCUUUAUACAAUGUGUCGGUAGAUAGAGUAGAAAGGCUAGGAUAAAAUAAUGAGAAUUGAGAACAAAUAUGUCAUUGUUAGCUUAGCGUUAAGUGAUUACUUAUAUAAUAAUAAAUAUGUAUAUAAAUCACCCAGUUAAAAUCCGUCAUGUGGUUUGGGAAAAAUAAAAUUGAAGACGAAUUUUGAGGUACAUAGUAUUUUUCCAAACAAAAUAUCAUUAUUAAAUCAAUAACAAGGAAUUUUUAUCCUCUUUAUAUCAAGGUUUAUAGCAUAUUUUUAUAAAUUUGCACAUAAUAAUUAUAUAUAUUUUUUAUACUUUUUAUGAAAUAAAAAGAGUCGCGAAUAUUUUUUGUCGAAAAAUAGUACUCACCGCAGUUAAACACCUCAUCACAAACAGAAAUAUCACAUGAGUACCCGCAAGGGUUAGUUCAGCUGGUUAAAGAGGGGACAUGUAUUCUCUUGGUCACACACUCAUAGGUUCGAGUCCCGAAGGGAGCGGGGUUCCUACGUUAAAAAAUAUAUAAAAUAAAAAAUAAAAAAUAUAUCACAUGAGUCAAUAUCCAUAAAUUAUAGUUAAAUUAUACGCAUUUUAACUAGUCUUAAUAAUUUACAAAAAUUAUUUAAAAAUUUAUUAUAUAUCAUAAGAUAAGAUUGAUCCAAGCCAGUGAAGAUAGUUAAGAUGAUUUUGGUAGUAGGUUGAAUAAUAUCAAAUCAUGUUAAAAAAUAACAUAGAAAAAAUUUACGUAUUCAAUUAUAAAUUUUAAAUAGAAAAUACCCGAAUAUCAUGUACUUCGAACCAUAAUCUAAUUCAGGUAAAUAUUUAUUUGGAUAUAAUUGAUUAUGGAUUAUCAAAAAUCUAGUAUUUCGAUUUUAUUUGGGUUAACUUUCCGAUUCACAUAUUUUUUUUUCAAAUCAAAUCGAUUUUCGAAUUCUAAUCAAAUUUGAUUAUAUUAGAGCAUCUCCAACGACGUUGGUUAUAAUCGCUGGCUAAAUGGGACCUGUAAGACAUUAUGUAAAAUUUGCUAAACCUGUAAGAGCAUCUCCAACCAUCUAAAACCCUUUGCUAAAAAAUGAGUUGGCAUACUUAAAAUAAAAAAAUUUAGCCAACAGCUCCAAAACUCAACUCCAACCAUGCUCACCUGUUGUCUAUAAAUUUAGCCAACCUCCUAUGGAUGGCUAAAUUUGUCGAACCUCUACAGGUCUGUAAGAAAAUCUGUAAGAAGAUUAUACAUCAUUUAUUACCAUAUUGAACUGAUAUAUUAUAUUUUAACAAUUUAAAAUAUUAAUAACAUACUAUUUUUAAAUUAUAGCCAAUCAAUAUAGCCAUUACCAUUGAAGCAAAAUGUCUUACAGGUUCAGCAAAUUUUACAUAAUGUCUUAUUGGUCCAAUUUAGCCAACCAUUAUAGCCAACGCCGUUGGAGAUGCUCUAAGACAUUUUCAUUCAGUGGUAUUUGCUAUAUUGGUUGGUUAUAAUUUAAAAAUAGUAUGUUAUUAAUAUUUUAGAUUGUUAAAAUAGAAUAUAUCAGUUCAAUAUGGUAAUAAAUGAUGUGCAAUCUUCCUACAGAUUUUCUUACAGACCUGUUCGACAAAUUUAGCUAUCCAUAAGAGGUUGGCUAAAUUUAUAGACAACAGCUUAGCAUGGUUGGAGUUGAGUUUUUCGAGCCGUUGACUAAAUUUUUUUAUUUUAAGUAUGCCAACUCAUCUUUUAGCCAAAAGCUUUUAAUGGUUGGAGAUGCUCUUAUAUUUGAUAUUAGUUUUCAUGUGAUUCUAAUCAGAUUUGGUUUAGAUGGGAUUCACUAUAUUCGUUUAUAUGCGAUUCUAAUAAGAUAUUAAUUAUUAAUAUAAAAAUUUUAUUAUCCCAUUUUUGAUCACUCAAUGAAAUAACAGUACUAUACCACAAAAUUUAUGGAUAUAUGUAAACAAGCAAAUUAGCUAAAAUAUCUUUGUUCUUUUCUUUUUUGAAAAGUUUGAUAUUGCCAAAUACAAAAUUUUACAACAUUAUUUGGUGAGAUUUACUUAGAUUAACAGUUUUGUUGAUUAAAUCACAACACCAAAAUCAUAAUAAAUUAAGGUCAUUUUUGACAAUUUAAAAAACCUUUCAUUUUCUUGAUAUCGGUUAAAACCAACAUUGCCGUGAAUAAAAAUACUAAAUGAUAAAUAUUUGGUAUAGUUGAUACAUUAAUAUACGUGCAGAAAUGAAUGUAUAUACAAAUUUCACUAGAAGAUCAUAUCCAUAGUGGCAUCACUCGUUAGCCUUAUAGAUAUCAAUACAAGGACUCACACGUAUUUGAAAAAACAACUUGUAUCUAAGUUGUACUUCUGAGCAGCUUUGGUUGGGCUGAUUUGCCAAGUUACCUUUCGAAACUUCUUGAUUCCGAAGUUAUAUUUUCCUUGGGCAUUCCAUAACAGCAACAUUCCAAAGACUCGAAGACAGAAAAAAUUGCAGACCUUGCAACUGGGAAUCACUGCCUUUAUUAUCUCCGCUGCUGUUAUCGGCCUCUUGAAUUCUUUUUACAGUAUGUCUUACAGUAUUUUUGGGCAACUAAUCAUCGGCAAGAACAAUUUGUGCUCGACAAACACUGAUUUACUGAGAUAUGAUGGUAUCCCUGACACCUGAGAGUUCAAUAUUUAGGAAGUCGGGUAUCAGUUCGAUAAUUAAUACCUUACUAUAGAAUGCGGAACAGACAGUCUUAAUGAUCUAUAAAGACUUAUACCACACAAAAUUGACAGAGCAAAACAUGACCAUUUACAUUACAGUAUGCAGAGUAAAAUAAUCAAAUUUGUGAAAGAAACAAGGUAGUACGAACUAUGAAGCAAUAAUCCAAUUAUUAUGCAAAGAAACCCAUACAUAAUCUUCUAGUGGAAGACUAUCAACUUAACUGAUACAAAAUCUCAUUCUCAAAAGCCGCUUUAUCCGAAAACCAAUGCAAAAUAUUAAUUCACUCAGAAUCUUCCUGUUACAGGACUGAUUAGACAAGAGUACAGAAAUAUGCCUGUGAGAUAGAGGAAGAGAAAGGAAGGGAGGGAUAGGCUUACUCAUUUAGCUUACGAACAUCAACGGCUUGGUAAUGCAUAUGAGCCAUCUGGAGUAGCCAUUAACAUAGAUAUUGGCUACCGGUUGGAGGUUUCACCUUUUCAACACCUUAACUCCAUUUGUAGGAUAAUGGUGAAUAAAAUGUCCUAAGCAUAUUAACAUCCAACAUUAGAGCGGAAACAAGCAUAAUAGAGCACAGACAAGCAUAAUCGCAUAUCAAUAUUACAAACAUGUAAUCUGUUUUUCAUUUUCAUUGCUACAUCAAUUAAAGAUCACCUCCCAUCCUUCAAAUGCAUUAUUAAGCAACAAUAUGGUAAAACACCAAAGAGAUUUAAUCCAACCAACCUCAUUAGUUUGUGCAUUGCCGACAACAAAGUCAAAGUCGGUCCUAUUGCCCAAAUGAAACUACAAUAUUCACAAUAACAAAUAUUUAAGUCGAAAUUUACCAAAUACCAGAAUAAAAAAAAAUAAUUGGGGAUUUGUUACGGAUUGUGUCAUAUGCAAAGAACCAAGCUGAUUACAAAUUGUUGUUAUCGGCUCGGAAAGUUCAAGCCUCCAGAUACCAAAACCUAUAUUAUUAGAAUGUUAGUCGGCCAUAGAUCAUUUGUUUGCUCCAAGAAGGAAUGUUCAACAAGAUACAAUGCAGUGUUUGUUAGCUUUUCAUUAUUCAACAAGAUACAAUGGUUGUUAGCUUUACAUGUUCCCUGAUCUUUUAUUUACCUAUCCUGAAUCUACAUACUCCAUAAGCAUUUUUCGUAAGUUGUGAAUUAGGCUAAUGACAUUAAAAUAGUCACAGUAUAGAGUAGAAAUUGUGUGUUUUAGUAUAUGGUAUCCAAUCAACAAGCUUCCUAAAUUCGUGGAGAACUAGUGAGCAUAAAUUUCUUGUUCUUAUUCAAUAUCCUAACUAACUAAUUGUUACCGGUAAAAUAUGAACAGACCUGGAUUUUCUUUACUCAGAUGUUUUGGUGAAUUGAAUAAACUAGUUGAUUUUUAAUGGUUUCUAUAUCUCAUUGGUUCAUGUUAGUUUUUUAAUAUGAGUGUAUGUGUGUUUAUUUUGAUUAAGAUCUUUACAUUUGUUUCUCUAUUUGUAUAUUAAUAAAUAUGUACGUUUGUAUCUCUUCCCCUCUCUGUUCACUUCAUCCCUUUCAUCGUCCAAUCCCCUUUUGUCCAAAUCGAUGCCCUGGAAUUAAAACUUUUUAUAAUCAAGAGUUCUCCGGCACAAACCACAACACAUCAUCGAGGGGGAAGAAAUCUCAAGCAAAAUACAUCAUCGAGUGGGAAAAAUCCAGCUUAAAGCGCAAAUGACUAAUUUUGACCGACUCAAAGUGCUCAAGAUUGUCAUGGCUCAGAUCUACAGAAAUACAUUAGAAAAACAGGUGUGAUCUUUUCAAAACAUAAAAUUAUAUGAUUAUAAUUAUGUGAUUGUUUAUUGUUUUUCAUAUUUCAUGAUUAUGUAUAAUUGGGUUGUUUCGUAUCCUAUUCCGUCUUUUUUAUCUAUUUUGUCCGAAUUUGAGUCCGAAUUUGAGCAUAUUGGAUAUGUGUUAUUAAUCUUAUAUUAUAUAAUCAGUUACAUUUUAUGUGUUCUGUUUCUUCAUGUUCACGUUCGUCUCUUAGUUUUCACUAGUGCUCUUGAUGAUUGUGUGCGAUUCUUGGAUGGUGGCGGUGGAAGUGGUGUAGUGGUGACUUAAUUAGUGCGCGUUGUAAUAUUAGAUUAGAUUAUUCUGAUUGACUAUUUUUAUUGCGUGAUAUUAGUUUUAGCUUUGUAAUUUUGGAUAUGGUUAGGUUUUAAUGGUAGUAAUUGUAGAAUUUAAUUUUGGUUAUUUUUGAAUGACUAGUUGACUCUUUUAAAUUUGUUCAUUUUUGGAUUUUGACCUUUCUUUAAUUUGAAUUGUUGUGUUUUAUUAAAAGAUUAAUUGAUAGAAUCUUUAUUGCCGAUUAUUGUACUUGAAUUCCAUUAUUCAUGGGGAUCAUAAAAGAUGGCUUUAUUGUGCAUUAAUGAGGUAUUACUGCACCAUUAAUGGUUUAUUGGUGUAUACCAAAUUUAUGUUGUGAUUAGCUAAAAUCGUGAUAAAUUUGUUUAUCAAGAUUUUGUUUUGUAUUUGAUUAGAUAUAUCCUAACUAUGCUUUCAGAUUUUAAUUAUAUAUAUUUUCUUAUCUAUAUUUUAAAUAUUUAUUGACAUAAUUAUCAGUUAUUUUUUGAUAGGAUUUAUAUUUUAUUAUGUAUAUAACCAAAGAGAUCUCAUUAUCUCUUUGGUGUAGAUUUUUUAAUGAUUUGUUUUACAUAAACUUUUGUUUUUACUUUCCUUAUUCUUUAAAAGUUAUAUUAUAUUCAUAUUUUUAUUUAUGAGUUUGCUAACUCUUUUUCUACUUUUUAGAUAGUUUUAUUAUUUUUGUUGUAUGUAUGAACUUAUUAUGUUUUUAUUGUAUUUUAUUUUUUCAGGGUACGCGAGCGGAAGAUAGAAUGGCGGGACCUCUUAUGGUGUUUUCUUAUCGAACAUUAAAGUUUUAUUGUCUAAGUGUCUUCGGUCAUCUCUGCAUGUCCGAGGGUUAGAUGGUAAACUUUCUUGAACGAAAAGAACUCCUUGCGACGGAUUUUGUAUUCUGAUACAAUUCGUUAUACGAGAAAUUAUUUUGUGACAAAAAAAAAAUGUACAUUUGUAUCUCUAGUGUGUUGCCACAAGAUACAGCAUUUAUUACUGCUGCCUGUACAAAAUCCAUGCAGUCUUGACAAAAGCUAGUUAUUUGCUAAUCAGACUUAUAAAGAUUUUUAAAGAUGCAAUUGAACAAUAUGUAACCAGGUGAUUUGUUGCCACUCCGAUCAGUUGAUUUCAUGUCAUUGUAAAUAAUUUGAUUGCAGCGCUUGGCAGACCUUAAAAACAGAUAUAUCUUCCCAUUCAUCAAACUUCAACUAUAGGGGUAACAAGUGAAGUUACGAUCACAAUCACGAUACACCACAAAAGAGAAAUCAAGAUGGGGCGUUGUAAUUGGAUCAGCGCUUUGUCUUGCUCGCGCAGAUUGUCGUACUCGUGCUUUGGCAUAAAGGCUUGCUGGAGAGCGUUGCUGAAUAACGCCAUGGAUGUGUGUUGUUUGAUUUGGGGAUUAGGGUUCGGAGAUGACAAGUUAAUUGACUGUCAUGUCCUCCCUCCGUCCCAAUGAAUUGUAUACAGUUUCCUUUUUGGGACGUCCCACCAAUUGUAUACAUUCCAAAAGUAGUAAACUUUUAUAAUAUAAAACAUCAUUACACCAACUACUUUCUUCCACUGUCUUCAUUCUAUAAUAAUAUAAACACUAUUACACCCACUACUUUUCUUCACUAUCUCAAAUCUAUAAUUAAAUAUAAAUGGGUCCUAUCACUAUACUCACUUUUCACAUAAUUUUACUCAUUUUUUACCUUUUUUCCUGAUCUCCGUGUCCCUGGGACGGAGGGAGUACUUAGAACAAGUCAUGUGGUUGAUGUACCCAGUGCAUGCAUAAAUUAAUCUGAAACCGAUUUAGUCCGGUCAUAAAUAAAUCUGAAACCGACUUAAUCACGCGCAUAAAUUAAUCGGGAAUAAUAUAAAGGUCCAAAACGAAUAAUACUAAUAUUGUUUAUUAUUCUCUAAAUUUUAUUUAAUUUAUUAUUUUUGAGAUAUAAUUUUGUAUGUAUUUUUAAUUUUUAUAAAAUAUAAUUUCAUAAAUAAUUUGAUGGAAAAAUUUCUAGAUAUAAUUAAAAUUUUAAUUUCAACUAAUUUCAACUAAAAUAGGAAAAUGACAAAAUGAGUCAUGAAAUUAUAUUUUAUAAAAAUUUAAAAUAUAAAUAAGGAAAUUCUUACAACAUUAUAAACAUAUAUAUAUAUAUAUANNNNNNNNNNNNNNNNNNNNNNNNNNNNNNNNNNNNNNNNNNNNNNNNNNNNNNNNNNNNNNNNNNNNNNNNNNNNNNNNNNNNNNNNNNNNNNNNNNNNNNNNNNNNNNNNNNNNNNNNNNNNNNNNNNNNNNNNNNNNNNNNNNNNNNNNNNNNNNNNNNNNNNNNNNNNNNNNNNNNNNNNNNNNNNNNNNNNNUUGUUUAAACUCUAAUCAAUUUGAUUUUGUUUGUUUAAACUCUAAUCAAUUUGUUUCGUGACAAAUUCAUAUGUCGCAUUCUAGCUUUCUCAUCGGUAUUACAUUCAAUCAUACAGAUUAUUACAAACAUCGUUAAGAUAUUCUAUAUUAUGAAUUAUAUAUUUUGAACAAGCAUCGUUAAGAUUUUCAUCUAUAUUUUUUAUUUUCUUAAUAUAUUUAACUAAUCAUCACUUGCUUAUAUUCAUCUAACAAUAAAAUGUUUUAUGUUCUUCCAUCACUAAGAUCACAAAAACAUCCAACUUCGGCACCUAAACAAAUGUAAUAUAACCCGGAAGAAAAUUGGUAAAUUAUGAACCACUGUUCCAAAAUGCAGAAUCCUGUUUUAACACACACACAAGCUUAUUAUAUACAUUAUACAGGUCAAUAAAUAAACAGAAAAAUACUAGAAAUACUUCAAGUAACUUAACGGUUACUUGAACAUCAUCUAUUUUAAGUCUUUUGAGCCCUGAUCUUACAUAGGAAUAAGAAUAAGACAAUAUGGUUACUAGCAAAUUAGCGGGCCUUAGAAAAUUGUUUUUCAUCAUUUUGGAGCAUCAUCUUCAUUGUUUACUGCAAAUCAUCUUCCUUGUUUACUGCAAAGAAGAAUGUGAAAAUCAAUGACUUUCAUACUAGAAAAUUUAAUAAAUUUCAAGCACAUUAUAACUUAACUAUAAGCAUACCUUCACCAUUUAUGAGCCAUCCGUCUCCCGGAUAUUAUUAAACAAAACAAUCUUUACGUGAAUAAGAUUGUAUUGCGUUUGCUUUAUGGCAGGGCGGCUAGGAGCUCAGCACAAAAUUCUAGCCACCUACAUAGAGCUCGCUGAGGGAAGAUGGAUUGUGCUUUGGAACAAGGUCGGAAAUUCCUAGAAGUGGUGCCAGCCUCUAGGUUCUUUUACCUCAUCAGCUGCAUAAACACAAACACUGGACACAACACUUAGUGCAUUGCCUACAAUAUCCAAAGAUAUGGACAACAUCCAUCAAAUCAACUUACAACACAUUCUUCACACCUCAAUCAUAUAUCAUAGAACCAUCAACUAUCCGAUCAUUCUCACGAUUGCACUACCAACACAAAAACAAGUCUGAAACGACUUCAAGCAAUACACAAACCCUUAAUUUAUACCCACACAAGCAUUCACAAAUACUAUCUCAAACAUCAAAUUUCUUUAAAACAUGCUUUUCAUAAACCACACUAAUUACCGUAAAUCAACUAGACAACUCAAUUUUGUAUAACCACUACACACAUUAAUGCAUACACACACACACACACAUUGAACAAGUCACAUUUCAUAAUCCACAUAUUCAUAAAUCAACUAGACAACUUUAUUUUGCAUAACCACUAGACACACAAACACUCACACACACAUGAAACAAGUCACAUUUCAUAAUCCACAAACUCGUAAAUCAACUAGACAACUCAAUAUUGCAUAACUACUAGACACACGAACACUCACACACACAUAAAACAAGUCACAUUUCAUAAUCCACAUAUCCAUACUCGAAAACCCUCACCAGCAACUAAAUACGCAACUGAAACCAAAAACACCAAAACCGACGGCAUAAACACCACCAUCCAAUAAUAAUCCACCGUCUGCUGAUCCGUCAAAUAAAACGCCCCAGGAAACACAUCCUCCCCGCCGCCACCGCCACCAGAGCUCACAUUUAUCGACAACGGCUGAAUCCUCAAAUCCCGGCAAAACACGCGUUUCCCGUCCUCCGCCGGGAACACAAUCUUCACGCUAAUCGAGGUGGACACAACGAUCACAAUCACGAUACACAACAAGAGGGAAAUCAAGACGGGGCGUUGUAAUUGGAUCAUCGCUUUGUCUUCUUCGCGCAGAUUGUCGUACUCGUGCUUCGGCAUGAAGGCUUGCCGGAGAGCGUUGCUGAGUAACGCCAUGGAUGUGUGUAGUUUGAUUUGGGGAUUAGGGUUUGGAGAUGACAAGUUAAUUGACUGUCAUGUACUAGAACAAGUCAUGUGGUUGAUGUACCAGGCAUAAAUUAAUCCGAAACCGAUUUAAUCCGGUCAUAAAUUAAUCUGAAACCGACUUCAUACGCAUAAAUUAAUUGGGAAUAAUAAAAAAAUUCAAAACAAAUAAUAUUGAUAUUAUUUAUUAUUCUCUAGAUUUUAUUUUACUUGUUAUUUUUUGAGAGAUGGUUCCGUAUGUUUUUUUAAAUUUUUAUAAAAUAUAAUUUUAUAAAUGAUUUGAUGAAAAAUUUCUAGAUAAAAUUAAAAAUUCAAUUUCAACUAAAACAGGAAAAUUACAAAAUGAGUCAUGAAAUUAUAUUUUAUGAAAAAUUAAAUUAUUAAUAAGAGAAUUCUUACAAAAUUAUAAAGAGAUUUGUAUAUAUAGUUAUUGACAUAAAGAGAUUUGUAUAUAUAUUUAUUGACAUUGAUUUUAGACGCGAGAAGGGAAAUUGUGUUUGUUUAAACUCUAACCAAUUUGUUUCAUAACAAAUUUAUAUGUCAGCAUUCUAACUUUCUCAUCGGUAUUACACUUAAUCAUACAGAUGAUUACAAACAUCUUUAAGAUAUUAUAUCUUAUAAUUUCUUUAAAUUGUCCUCCGUGAGCUGAGAAAAAUGUUCGUUCAUCUAUAUUUUAAUUUUUAAUUUUCUAUUUUCUUAAAAUUAUUAUAUUUAACUAAUCAUCGUUUGCUUGUACAUUCAUCAAUAAUAAAAUGUUUAAUGUUCUUCCAUCAAUAACAUCACAAAAUGGGCACCUAAACAAAUGCUACAUAUAAACCAAAAAAAUUUGUAAAUUAUGAAUAACUGUUCCAAAGUGCAUAAUCCUAUUUUAACAGGUCAAUAAAUGUCAAUAAAUAAACAGACAAAUACUAAAACUACUUCAAGUAACUUGAUGGUUUCUUGAACAUCAUCUAUUUUAAGUAUUUUGAGCCCUGAUCUUACAUAGGAAUAAGAAUAAGACAAUAUGGUUACUCCAAUCUACACUGCUAGAUUUAAACUUGAUUCUUUUAAAUUCAGAAGUUCCACGAUGUGCUGCGUUUGUUUUAUCUUCAACUAAAUAGAUAAGUAGGCAGCUUCUUCAUAAUAGUAGAUAACAAGCAGAUUAGAGGAUUAGCGGGCCUUAGAUAAUUGUUUUUCAUCUUUUUGGAGCAUCAUCUUCAUUGUUUUGUUUACUGCAAAUCAUCUUCUUUGUUUACUGCAAAGAGGAAUGUGAAAAUCAGUGACAUUCAUACUAAAACAUUUAAUAGAUUUUAAGUACAUUAUAACUUAACUAUAUAAUACGCAUACCUUCAACAUUUCUGAGCCAUCCGUCUCAAACAUAUUAUUAAACAAGACAAUCUUCACGUGAAUAAGAUUGUAUUGAGUUGGUUUUAUUACAGGGUCCAUGGUAACUCAGCACACAAUUCUAGCCACCUACAUAGAGCUCGCUGAUAGACAACAAAAACCAGUAUGAUGAUUGGUUCCUAUCAACAAUCUUAUCAUGUCUCUUUUGAAAUAAAAUGAUAUAAAUGUAUGGGAAAGAGAAGCAAGAACUAAAGGUCAAACUAAUAUAUAUUGGUCACUGCAUAGUAAUAUUUAAGAGACAUCAUUUAUAUGUUACUGAAUUAAAUAGGAAGUAGAUCAACCUUCAGCAAUUGUUUGCUCAGAUGAAGAGUUCUUCUCUUAUUUCAGUUAGCCGAGUCACAAGGAAUCCCUAGCAGUGGUGGCAACCUCUGGGUUCUUUUGCGCCAAAUGAAGCAGCGGCACGACUAAACACAUAGGACAAAAUGGGCAUAUAAAGUUUGUUAGACAGAUAAAGACAGAAAUUUUACAAUAUUACAUAUAUUGUAAGAAGUUUGUACAUGCAAAACCAAUUUUAUUGUUAUACACAAAUCAAGCGAAGGGUGAAAAUACCAUAUCGAGAAAUGUUGGCAUUUCUCUUUGUCCACUUAGAGCAAGGUUUGGUAGAAUCACUUUUAUCCCAUGCCGGCCUGACAUAAUGAAUUUCAAUAUUUCACGAAUUUCAUAUUGUACGCAUUAAUUAUAAAGUUAACAGUUAUG
rnacentral:lncRNA from 1 species